rnacentral:lncRNA from 1 species
AACUUAAGAUUCAUGCCAGAAUGCCUGUCAUAUAUUCAUCAUCAUAUGGCAUUUGAGCUGUAUGGUAUGCUGGCUGGGAAUGUCAGUCCCAUGAUAGGUGAACAUGUGAAACCAGCCUGUGGAGGUGAAGAAGAGGCUUUCUUAAAGAAAGUGGUUACUCCUAUCUAUGAAGUGAUCGCAAAGGAAGUUGAUAGGAACGAAAGGGGAAAAUCUAAGCAUUCCCAAUGGAGGAACUAUGAUGAUUUAAAUGAAUACUUCUGGUCAGUUGAUUGCUUCCGACUAUGUUGGCCAAUGCGUGCAGAUGCCGAUUUCUUUUAUCUGCCUAUAGAAGAGAUCCAUUGGGAAAGAAAUGGGGAUGGCAAACCAACUACCAGAGAGCGCUGGAUGGGAAAAGUUAAUUUUGUUGAGAUACGUUCCUCUUGGAAUAUUUUCAGAAGCUUUGAUAGAAUGUGGAGUUUCUUCAUUUGUGCUUACGGGCCAUGAUAAUUGUUGCUUGGAAUGGUUUGGGGGAACCAAGUUCAAUCUUUAGUGGCGAUGUUUUCAAGAAAGUACUGAGUGUCUUUAUAACUGCUGCAAUACUGGCAGUCUCCUCUAUGAAGAUGAGUUCAUCAAGUAUCUCAAAGACUAUCCAGGUCAGUUUAGAUAAAACAUGGCUCUUAUCAGAAGACAAAAGAGAAAGAAUGGAGGCAAGAUGCAGGUUCAGAAUAAGAUUGAGGAAUAGUGAUGAGAUUUUCAAGCUCUUGAAUGGUGGAAUCUAUAUACACUUUUACGGGCUUGAGGAAAUGAUGUUUAGGAUCCAAGAAACUCUUAAGAGAGUUAUAGACCAGAGAGGAGAAAACCGGAAAGAGAAGCUGCAGGAAGAAACACUCAUUGCAUGGUGUGCCAUAUGUAUGGCCACCUUUCGGGCCACGUGUUACCUACUGUUUCCUCAUCUUCGACUAAAACCCUUUUUUGUAAAUAAUCUUCAAAUUUUGGUUUUUAAAUAAUCCUAAUUCCACAUUUUUCUUCAUCCUUGGAGUUUUUAGGUUCCAAAAACCUAUUUCCCAAUAAAAUUUGGCCAUCAUUUUCUUUCCGGCAAGCCACUUUCGAAUUUUCUUUGAUUUUCAAAAUGUUUUAAGUGUGAAUUUAUUUUCAUAAUUCUAAGUGAUAGAAUUUAUGAAAUUGAUUCACUCAAAAAUAAAUUGGGCUUUGGCGGGGGCCCAACAUUAUUGGAUGUUUCCCUUGAAAAUCAAUUUGAUUGAAUUGUGAUAUAUGAUGAUUUCGUACUCGAUUUAGUGGCACGUGAGCUAUGUUUUAUGACCAUUAUUUGUGCAUUAAUCUCAUUUCUUGAUAGCUCAUUGUGGCUCGUCGCCCAGGUACAUAUCUACUCGCAUCCUAGUCAUUCUCUAUGCAUGUUCUGAUUCUCAUAUAUGCAUGAUCGUUCUAUGUAUUCAUUGAUUGACUCAUCAAUUGCCAUAAUUGCUUCAUUUUAUUAGUAGGGACCCGUUUUUAGAGACUUAGAGGGAUGCUACGGUCUUCAUCGUACCUUCCUGAUAAGUAACCUAACCCCCGAACCCGAUCCUGUUUUUCAUAGACCACAUUUUCCAAAAUAAGGAGUCACACUUGGAGUUUUCUUUCUUAUUUUGGUUACCCUUUAAAAAUAAAACAAAAAUAAGUGGCGACUCCAAGUCAUUUUCUUAAUAAAUAAAAUCAUUUUCAAAUAAAAUCAAGCUUACCAUCGAGUGGAAACUCAUGAGCCGAAAUGUAGGGUUCACAAUAUCUAUUUUAUAUAUAAAACCUAUUUUUUUAUUUAUAAAAACAUAUUUUAUUUAUUUAAAAAAUAAAAUUUAUUUUUUAAAGAAAUGUCAUAUUGUAGACUCCUUCAUAUGGGGGACAUUUCUCUUGUUUUUUUUUUCUUCUUCUCUUCUUCUUCUUCAUCAACCCGAGAAUAGGCUGUAUGACUACAACAAAGUACAUGAUCAUGGAUGAAAUGUUUUGUCUCCAACAAUAUGCCUUUUGUAGCCAAAAGGCUUUCCUAACGAAAAGUUUCGUCUCGUUCAUUGUCUCGAUAUUUGUGUCACCCUAUGUUUUUGGAGACGAAUAAUUAACGUUUGUUACGAAAACAUAUUUAUGACAAAACAAAAUUUUGUGGCCGACACUAUUUGGAAACGAGUUUUUUUUGUGGCCUAAGAUAAAAUGUUUCGUUUGGAAUUAGAUUUUCAAAUAUCGAGUAAACUAUUUGGUAACAAAAUAUUUCAUUUGGCAACAAAAAAAUUUUGUCACUACAUGUUACUUUGUACAUUAGGAGACAAACUAUUUUCAUCUCCAUUAUGUUGACACAUGGUUUCUACAACGAAAUAAUUUUAUCUCCAUAUAUUUCCACUUAUAUUUGGGGAGGAAAUAUUUUCGUCUCAAAUUGUUGACAAUUAGUUUGGGUAACAAACAAAUUUUGUCUCUAAAUGUUACUUCAUAUAUUAGGAGACAAUUUUUUCAUCUCCAUCAUGUUAACCCAUAGUUUCUACAACGAAAUAAUUUUAUCUCCAUAUACUUCCACUUACAUUUGGGGAGAAACUAUUUUUGUCCCAAAAUGUUGACAGAUAGUUUGAGUAACAAACAAAUUUUGUCUCUAAAUGUUUCAAUUACAAUUGGAGACAAAAUGAUUUCAUCUUGAAAAACUAAUAAUGUUUAGGCAAUAAAAUAAUUUUAUCUCGAAUUCAUAUAGGAGAUGAAAUAAUGAAACGAAGUUCCUCUUUGUAUUAUUUUCGAAUGAAAUAAUUUCCUCUCUAUAUAAUAUUAUUGUUAAUUUUUAAAAUUUUAAAUAAUCCUAUUGAAACCUACAUAAACCUAUAUGAUAUUGAAAGAUUUCAAAUAUACAAUGAUAUUAUAUAAAUAAAACAUUUAAUAAUGUAAAAAUAGAAUAAUAUAUAGAAAAUAAGUAAACAUUAAAACAUUUGUUUCAUCAAUGCAAAACAUACGUACAAAUAACAUUUUCCAAGUACCAUUCGAAUAUUGUCUAAAAUAAAAGUGACCAAUAAAUAAUAGCAAACCACAUAAUAAUAUCAACUCGAUGGUGACGAUGGUGGUUGGGAAGUUGAGCUAGAAUGAGGUGGUGGUUGGUUAGAAGUGUUAGUUUGUUGUGGCAUCAAUGUCUGGAUCAUUGCCUUUAAUUCCUCCAAUUGAGUGGUAGCUGUUGUUUUAAACUCCUCUAACUUUGUGAUUUGUUGUCUUAACCUCUCUGUUUCUUCAUCAGGAAAUUCAGUUGUAGUCGAAUGCUUAAGUCGUGACCCAUAUCCCAAACCUCGAAUAUAACCUGAUCGCUUCCCUAGUACUCUUUGAGUUAUCUCCAAGUCAGAGAUAGGAGUAUCUCCAUCUUGGGUACUUUGCUCUUGAAGCUUACGCAUCUCUUCCUAAGAAAUAUAGUUUUCAAUUAGUGAACAUGUUACAUAGCAUAUAAUGAAAAGAAAAUUUUAAUUUUUGCAACUACAAGUAACAUGACUCUUACAUAUCGAGAUUUAGUUGUGUCAUUGAUCCAUCCUUUACUUUCAUUGUAGUGAGUGGCACGAAAUAACUCCACUUCCCCUUGCAACUCUCCAGUGGCAACACUCUUUUACAUGCACAUAAAAAAAUAAUUUAGUUAUUUUUAAAGAUAAGUAAUAAACUCCCUUUUCAACUUUCUAGGUGGAACAUGUCUUUUAAAUAAAUAGUAUAAAAUAAAACUAUUAUUUUAAAGAUAUAAUUUAGAAAAAUAUGUCAUACCAUUGAGUUAUGCUGACGAUGAAAUGCAAAUGGUUUAGAUCCACCACGAUGAUUGAAUGGAAGCUUUUCACAAAUUUCACUAUUUAUAGUAGCCCUUUUCUACACAAUAAUAUUACUAAAAGAGUAAGUAAAAGAAAAUGAAACAAAUUAUAGUAACCUAAGAAUUAAGAAAAUAUGUUAAAUAAAAACUUUACAAACAAUGAAACAUGUAAUAAAAUGUAGUCUUUCUACCACGAUUUUAGUAAAAUCUUCUCCAUUAUUUAUACUAUAUAUAUAUAUAUAUAUAUAUAUAUAUAUAUAUAUAUAUUCUCAUAUACAAAAUGUUAAUUUUUGGUAAUAAACCAACAUUCCAAUACAUAUAACAUUUCAAUAAUUCAUGGUAAACAAACAUUCUAAUAUAAUAUUUUAAUUAUUCAUAAGGAACCAACAAUCCAACACAACAUUUCAAUUUUCAACUUGUUUCAAGUGACAAAUUCCUACUUUUUUACUUCAAAAUAUACCAAAUACCAAUGAUCAAGAUGCUCUAGUAUACCCACACAACAUCAAAUAUGUUUACUAUUUCAUAUGUAAUUAUGUUAAAUAUGCACAGUACCUUAAAUUUUUCAAGAGAAAAAAGAUUGCACAAGUAAUCCCAAUCUUCUUGUGUGACAUCAUCUGGCGGGUGCAAACGUGCCUCCUCCACUGUCUCAAACUGCUUGAAAUGCUGGUGAAGAUCAUAUCUAUAUGUUCGAUAAUGUUGUCCCAUAAUCUCAUGCACAUACUUUGUAAUGUAUGUUUUUGACAUAUCUGGAUCAAAUUUUGACUGAAAUUUAAAAUAAAAAUAAAAUAAAAAGCAUUAUAAUGUGUUAGUAUAAUUAUAGAUUAACUAAUUAAUUAAAACAUUUUUAACUAAUAAGAACUCUUACUAAAAGGCGAUCAACUAAUGGUUGUGUAUCCAUAGCUGGAAUAGCUGACCAUUUCUCGAAUUGUAGUGGAGCAAAUUUUCUAAUGAGAUAGCCACACUCAUUAGAAAACUUUGCAGAUUUAUCACUAUCUUUUGGUCUUCCACUCUCUGUGUUGAAAUCUAACUUUUUCCCUGACAUUUGUACAAUAGUAUCUGUGCCCUUACCUCUUGUAGGUCCACGACCCUUCUUUAAUGGUGGAUAUGAAUCUACAAUUUAAAAACAAAGUUAGAAUGCAUAGUUAAUGAUAAAAAUAAAAACAAAAACUUAAAAAAUGUAUUCUUACCAGUGCUAUUCCUAACUAUUGUCUGCAUUGAUGAUGACAUAUUACUAUUAGUAGGAGUAGGAGUUGAAGAAAUUGGAGGGGAAGGAAGAGGUGGUGGUGGUGGUAGUGGAGGAGGAGGAGGAGGAGGAGGAGGAGGAGGAGGAGGAGGAGGAGAGACAACCCUAAUAGUGGUUUUAGUAUGAUUAUUCAUAUUCUUGGGGGGAGCUUGAGACUUAGUGUUAGAAGUAUAUUUAAGGCGACGUCGAUUUCCACGCUCCAUCUAUGAUAAUACUUCCUGCACUAAAUUCAAUUAGACAAAUACAUAGUUACAUAAAAUAUUUUCAUUUAUGUUCUUCAAUUCCACAAAAGAUGUGAUAAAUGAGAUUUUAAAAAAAUUUAGUUUAGGGGAUACAUCAUGUAUAUGCAUUAAAUAAAUAACUCAAAUUGUAAUGAAAUAAAAACAAUAAGAUGAUAAACAAGAAAAGUCUAACUGAAAUUGACAUUAAAAUAAUAAAACUAACUAUCACUAUCACUAUCAUGAUCUUCUUCAUCACUAUUUUCAUUAUCCUCACUACAAUAGUCUACAAGUGUUUCAUCUUCUUCAUCUUGGUCAUUUAUGAAAGCAGUUAAAUCAUCAUUUUCAAAUCUUCUCCCAUGAUCAACCACAUUUUCAAUAUCAAUAUAGCUUGGAUCACCAUCUGGCCUUUGAUAUUGUAUAACAUUACAAUCUUGGUUUACUGACCAAACAAUAUCAGUUGAAUCAUUUUCUUGAUAUGCUUCUUCUAUUGUUGGAUCUUCAUUAUCAUUUUCACUAUCAUUUGUUGUAGUUUGCUCUGGGACAUCAAAUAUGUGUCUAUGAAGUACUUUUUGCACCACUUUCCAACUUGAUCCUAACUUUGGAUCAUUUACGUAAAAGAUUUGUUGUGCUUGGCUUGCAAGAACAUAAGGAUCUUCUUCAUACCACUUAUUAUCCACGUUAAUGCACCUAAGGACACCAUCAUCUUGCAAUCUCUUUUUAUUGGGAUCAGUAUCAAACCAUUCACACUUGAAUAGAACAACUUGGUUGUUGAAGAUAUAAUCUAACACAACAACAUUUAGCAACACACCAUAGAAAUCAAUCAUAUCCUCAUAAUGGUCACCCAAUACAAGAACACCACUAUUUUGAGUCGUGUGUCGAUCAUCUCGAUCUUUAGUGUGAAAUCGAAUUCCAUUUACCACACAACUAUGAUAUAAAGAUACUCUACGAUCAGGUCCAGAGGCUAAUGAAUACAACUCAUCAGUAGCUUCUGGUGAUCCUUGAUGGCGUAAUAUUUUCAUCUGCAUAAUUGAGAAGAUAUGUAAUUAAGAAUAUCAUUCUAAUUAAAUUUGUUUAAGAGAAAAAAUGUCUUUAGAUAUACAUACAUGAUUCGCAAACCACUUUGGGAAUAGCUGUUUUUGCCUUUGAAAUAAAUUAUCAUUGGUUUCCUUUUCCAACUGCUCCAUGUGUUCACUAGUUGUACACACUUUUGUUAGUACACUGCAUUAAUUAGCUAUUGAGUCAUAAAUAAUUAUAAAUGGUUGCAAAAAUAAUUUUAUGUCUUACCAUAAAUAUGAUUGUAGUUCUUUACAGUUGUUCAAAAUAUACCAGUGAGCUUUCUCUAUUUCGGCACGAGAGAACUCAAGCUGCUGGUAACUUCCAAAUGGGCGAGCUCUUUGAGAAAAAACAGAAAACCCAUUUGACUGAUCAUUCAAAUCAUCAACAUUUCGAUCUGGUCGAUUAAAUUUAGUCUCAAUUCCAAGAAGAUAUUGAGAACAAAAUGUUAAUGAUUCAUUCACAAUAUAAGCCUCUGCUAUUGAACCUUCUGGGUAAGCCUUAUUUCUUACAUAACUCUUAUAAGUCGAUAAAAUCCUGAAUAAAAGCAAAGGUUAUUGAAACAUUAUUCAAAUUGUUAAAGAAAUUAAUUUUUAAAAUUGAAUAUAAAGUUUAUAAAUAUUACCUUUCAAUAGGAUACAUCCAUCUAAGUCCAACAAGUCCAGCAAGUUUUGCCUCAUGUGGUAAAUGUACAAGUAAAUGAACCAUAACAUCAAAAAAAGUAGGUGGAAAGAUCCUCUCAAGCUUACAAAGAAUCAACACAAUAUCAUGUUCUAAUAUUUCCAAAUCUUGUAUCCUCAAUGAUUUUGCACAUAACUUUUGGAAAAAACAUGAGAGUUCUAUAAGUGUUGUACUAAUAUCCUUCCUUAGAAAUUUACGGAUUCCAAUUGGGAGAAGUCGUUGGAGCAACACAUGGCAAUCAUGACUUUUGAGACCUAAUAUCUUUCCAUUCACACGCUUUGAAAUAUUUGCGGCAUAUCCAUCAGGAAACUUGAUUGAUUUCAAAAAAGCACAAAAUUCUCUUCUUUUCAUUGAUGUUAAUGUGUAGCAUGCAUGAGGCUUCAAGUAUUUGUUACCAUGCAACACUAAAUGCAACUCCUUUCUUAUUUUCAUGUCUUGUAAAUCUAAUCGAGCUUUAUAUGUGUCCUUUGUCUUCCCUUCAAUAUUCAACAGUGUCCCCAUCACAUUGUCACAUACAUUUUUCUCAAUAUGCAUAACAUCAAGAAUAUGUCUUAUACUUAAUUUUGACUAAUAUUCCAAUUCAAAAAAAUAUACUUCUCUUGGUCCAAUUUAAUUCACUAGGUAUUCGCUUCCUUUUCUUAUCUUUUUUGUUUGGAUUCUUACCCAAAAUAACAUGAUCAACAUUUUCUAAUUGCUGCAAUAUGUCAUCACCAGAAAAACUUUGGGGUGCUGGAUUCAUUUCCAACUUACCAUCAUGCAAUCUACUUUUACGCCAAGGAUGAUUAGUCUGCAUAUAACGACGAUGGCCCAUAUAACAUAUUUUGCUUCUCAAUGAUUGAGAUGAUGUGUCAACAUUGCAAACAGGGCAAGCCAUGUAACCUUUGGUACUCCAACCGGAUAACAUGGCAUACGCAGGAAAAUCAUUUAUUGUCCAUAAAAUUGCUGCAUGCAUUUUAAAAUAUUGACCAAUAGAGACAUCAUAAGUCUCUAUGCCAUCAUGCCAUAACUCUUUGAGUUCAUCAAUUAAUGGGCGUAAGUAAACGUCAAUUUCUUUUCCAGGAGAAUGUGGACCCGGAAUCAAAAGUGACAUCAUUAAGAAUGGUUCUUUCAUGCAUUUCCAAGGAGGCAAGUUAUAUGGCACUAGUAUAAUAGGCCACAUACUAUAUGAGUGACUCUUGUUACCAAAUGGAUUAAAACCAUCUGAUGAAAGACCUAACCUCACAUUUCUUGAUUCACUACUAAAAGAGGGGUACAUUCUAUCAAACGACUUCCAUGCUUCAGCAUCAGCCGGAUGCCUUAGCACACCAUCAUCUACUCGCUUUUCUUUAUGCCACCUCAUAUCACUUGCUGUAUGCCUUGACAUAAAUAGUCUUUGUAAUCUUGGUUUAAGAGGAAAAAAUCGCAAGCUUUUAUGUGGGAUUUUCUUGCCCUUACCAUCAUUAAUCUUAUAUCGAUCCUCAUCACAUAUAGGACAUUUAUCUAAAAAUUCAUUCUCUUUCCAAAACAAUGCACAAUCAAACUUGCAAGCAUGAAUUUUUUCAUACCCUAAACCCAAAUCCCGUAACAUCUUCUUAGCAUCAUAUGUACAUGAUGGAAGAUUUGUACCUUCAGGAAAUAUCUCACUUAACAAUUCAAGUAACAUAUCAAAUGAUUUAUUACUCCAAUGGUUAAGAACCUUUAGAUGCAUCAAUUUAACAAUGAAUGUCAAAGAUGAAAAUUUAGACCCUGUAAACAACUUUUUUCUAGCUUCACCUAACAACUCAUCAAAAUGUUUGGUCUCUACAUUAGUUGCCUUAGAUGUAGCAUCUCUAUUUGGUAUUGGGCCACAAACAUCACUCAAAAGUUCAAUCAUUUCAUCAUCGUCGUCAACAUCAUCAUUAACAGUAAAAGUUUCAUGAUGAUCUAACCUAUUAGGGCCACUCAUAUAAUUUCUUUCAUUGUAAUCAACACUAACUUUUUCUCCAUGAAAAAUCCAUCUUUGAUAUGUUGUGGCUAUUCCGUAUUUAUAUAAGUGGGUUUCAAUGUCAUAUAUGGAUUUCCAAAAUGCAUUCUGACAAUGUUUACAUGGACAACGAGUCUUUCCAUUUUGAUCCACAUGAUUUUUUGCAACUUGAAGAAAUGUUUUAACACCAGUUGCAUAUUCAUCUGACAAUCUAUCACAAAGAUUCAUCCAACUUUUAUCCAUUAGUCAAACUUGUAUGAUGCAACUCUUAUUCAAUUAUUUUUUAAAUUGUAAAAGCAUAUAAAAUAUAAUAUUAAAGCAAUAUUAACCUUAAUAACAACAAUAAUACAAAUAUAGAUAUUUAAUCUUAUUCAAUUAUUUUUUAAAUUGUAAAAGCGUAUAAAAUAUAAUAUUAAAGCAAUAUUAACCUUAAUAACAACAAUAAUACAAAUAUAGAUAUUUAAUCAUAUUCAAUUAUUUUUAAAAUUGUAAAAGCAUAUUAAAUAUAAUAUUAAAGCAAUAUUAACCUUAAUAACAACAAUAAUACAAAUAUAGAUAUUUAAUCUUAUUCAAUUAUUUUUUAAAUUGUAAAAGCAUAUAAAAUAUAAUAUUAAAGCAAUAUUAACCUUAAUAACAACAAUAAUACAAAUAUAGAUAUUUAAGUGAUUAAUUGAAUGUCUAUAGUAAAUAAAAUAAGAUUAAUAGCAUUUUAUUAGAACUAUUAAAAGAGAUGAAAAUUUAAUUAAUAAAAAGACUAUUUAUGUAACUAAUAACAUACCUAAAAAUAUAAAGUAGUGAUAACAUACCUGAUUUGCUUUUUUUUCAAUGUUGUAGAACACCAAGAUCAGCAACAGCAGCAGCCUAUGAUGAGCAACAGAAGUAGUUGAUGGCAGUCCGUGGUGAUGGACAAUGAAUAUGGUGAUGGUUUUGAAAUAAUGGAGAUGUUAUUUAAGGAGAAGCAGGAUGGAGGAUUUUUGUGGAGAGUUUAGGAAAGCUUUUUAUUCUGAUUUCUUUUUUUUUUUAUUUUUGUUUCCAUUUAAUAUUUUACAAAUUUUUUUUUUGAUAGGCAAUUUAAUAUUUUACAAUAUUACUUACCAAUUCUUUAAAUAUUUUCCAAUUUUGAAGUAAAAAAUUUUAGGAUAGUUUUUUUAUAACCAAUGAGAACAUAGAAAACCAAAUUGCUCUAUUAUACCCAACAAACACACAAUAAAACCAAACCAAAAACCUAAAUUAUCACCAGAGAGCAACAUACUACCAAAAAAAAAAAAAAAAAACGACAUAUUACCAAGAAAAAAAAGCUUUCAACACAAUUUUUUUUAGUUAAACCCGAGAAAAACAAUACCUAGAGCGUGGCAACUCACUUGACAGCUGCUCACGCGGAUUCUGUAGAGCCUCCCGAAGAAACUGAUCCAUUUGGUUGAUAGAGUCCUCAGAAAUCAUCCCAAAACCAACCAGAACUAACGAAGACGACAAAGCCGGAGCAGAAGCAAAAGCUGAAGCUGGUACCGAGGCAUUGAGAAAGGAAGAGGAAGAGGAAUCUUUCUUGGAUGAUGAAGAGGAGAGCAUCAAUAUGCUCAUGCUCUCGUCCAAAUCAGCGACCUCCCAAGACUCAGGGGCUCCGAGAUCGUGGAUGUAAAACAUAAGGUUGUGUUUUUCAGAUCAUGAUUUGCAAGCAAAGGUUGUGAAAUUUAAAUCCAAUGGUACAAAAUCAAAGCAAUCCCUAGAACAGAUCCAGAAUACACAUGAAGCAAAAAAAAAAAAAAAACGAGAAUGAAUUUUCCCAAAAAUCGAAUGAGGGAUGGAUUUUCUUGGAAUCAAACGGAGGUUGCAAAAAACGAAAAUAGUAGUAAUAAAAUUAAUUAAAACCGCCUAGUCACCAGCAUCUGGGAGGAGGAGGAGGCGGCGGCCCCGGCCCGACGUGGCUCAACAACGCAAUUCUGCGGCAGCAGAGUCAAUACUCCAAUGGGAGCUUCCUCCACUUGCAGACGAAUUCGGAUUCGACGUCAUCUCCGGCGAUGGCCACGACGACGACCAACCAGUGGCUCUUGCGAUCGAUGAGCAACGUGGCCGCCCAAAAUGACGACGUUCCGGUGUCUAGCGGGUCCGUGAUUGCUGCUAUAUCGACGGAUUUGAACGGUAAUAAGGAGAAGAGAAACGGAGGGAACAAUCAGAACCGGGGCGAUAACAGUGGUGAGGACAUGCUGGAUUGUGAUUCUUGGAAUCAAACGGAGGUUGCAAAAAAAAGAAAAUAGUAGUAAUAACAUGAUUAGAUUAGUACCUGCGAGGAUUGAGAGUGGAAGAGGAAAAUAGGGCCUUUUUAGGGAUUCUCGGGUCUAGAGGGCAACUUCUAAAAAGAGGUUCUUGAUGCCCGAGUGAAAAAAGUGGUUGGGUGGCCCUUUUGAUUUUUAAAUUUAGUAGAAAGAAAAAAAAAGAAGAUAAAUCAUGAGAACAAAUAUAAAUAAUUAUUAAUUAUCAUCUUUAUUUUAAAGUAUCAUGAAACUUUCUCAAAAAACAAAUAAAUCAUGUUAAGCAUUCAAUAGUAUAAAUAAAUUUAAAAGUGAUAAAUUUAUUUUGAAAAUGGAAAAUGCAUUUUAAUGGGGAUGAAAUAGUUUUGUCUCCAAUAUUGAGUUUUUACAAUAAAACAAUUUCUUCUCCAAUAAUUCUCUUUGUUCAUUCAUCUAGUGGUAUUAGGACAAUAUUUUUGUCUCCCAUUAUUAGGAUUUUUCUCUCCAAAAUUAUUUUACAACAACAUAAUUUUGUUACCCAUUAUUUACCUUUUGGGACGAUACUAGCUUUUUGUCUCCCAAUAUAUUUUGCACCAUGAACUAUUUUGUUGUUAAAAAUUAUGAUGUCGUCACAAAUAAUUUGGCCUCAUUUUACAUUCAAUUAAAACUUUAGACACAAAUUUUCGUAACAAACUCAAAUUUCGUCUCCUAAUAUCAUCUUUAGAGAUGAAAUUAUAUUCAUGGCCAAAAAAUUUGUGGCUGAAGGUCAAAUUUCUUGUAGUUAUGGGGCGGUUGGAUAGGACUGGGAGUGAAAGAAAGCAGUUAAUGAAUGAGCUGUUCUUGAGCAGCCAAGAAGACGACGACUUGAAGUGAAAGAAAAGCAGCCGAUGGGUGAGUUGCUUGGUACAGAGGGGACAAUUGAGAAGAGAGGAGACACAACCGUUUGGAAAUGAAGGACAACUGAACAAAAGAUGGCUAGUUAUAGAGCGGCAGAGUGAUAGCUUAGGAAAAAGAGAUUUUUUCUGAAGGAGAAAAAUACGUUUUUUGAGAGCGAGGAACGGGUUCGAGGAUACAAGGGAGAGUUUUGAAUGGAGGGGUAGAGAGCUUGAAGAGGAGAAAAAAAACAGAGUUUCACAGAGGGAAGUAGAGGGUUGCUUGAGAAGAGCUUUUCCAGGUAUGACAACUAUAACUUCUUUGUUGUCUCAUUUUUGCACGACUUUAUCCUCAUUUUAAGCUGUCUUCCUAAGCAUCAAUUUGUUUUGGUGUGGAUAGGAAGAGCCACUUGUUUGUCAUGGUUAAAUCUAGUCUUCUGUGUGCAUGCUUCAUUUUUUUUUUUUAGGGUUUUCCUUGCCUUUCCGCUGCACAAGAUUGAUGGAUGAGUUCAUUUUUGAACUUGAUAUAUGAGCCUCUUGUUUAUUUUCUUCGUUAAUUUCACUCGUCUUGAGCUCAUGGGCGGCACCAGAAAUGGGGCUCUGUACCAUUAUGUGUUUCAUGUUCUUGCAUUUGCUUAAUCCUCAUCGUUCAUUCUAGUUAUUGUCCUUGAUGCUACUCUUACAUUUGUGCUAUGUUUGGUGAGUUGUUCGAUCAGGAGCUUGGUGAAAAUGAGGGGAGCCAUGUUUGUGGUUUUUAUUCUCCUGCUGAUAGUUUGUGCUCCAAAAGGAAAAUGAGGUGGUGGGUUUUCAAGAAAGUUGCAAAAAAUUGUAAUCUCUGUAUUUGACUUAGAAGACUCAUCGAGGGCUUAUGCUGAGUUAUUGGGAAAGGGUACAUUUGGCAACUUACAAGGUGAUUUUUGAGGAUAACUCUAGACGCAGCAAGAGGAAUCGCUUCUAUCCAUGUAGGGAAUGCUAAGAAGCUUAACCAUGCAUGCAUGGUCAUCCCACUUCUCUCACACUUUUCUCCAUCCAUUCCAUUAAUGGCAACCCACACCUCUCUCACCUAUCCAUCAUGCCCAUUGUUGCAUCUGGUUCCAUCACCGAACCCAUUUUUCCUUACCAUUUUUAGUUCCACUCGACUCUUAAUCCCAUAAACUCACCUCCCUCACCAGCUUUUCUAUCAUUUCCAAACCCACUAAACAUGUCAUCUCCAUACCCAUUUUCUAACGCCCAUUAACCCACUUCUCUCUCUACAUCAUCACCCAUACCCAUUAAACCCAUGCCCCACAUGUUUGCAUGGCCACAUGAACCUUUGCAAACGUCUCCACCAUUCCCCCCUCCCAGCCCUCAUAUUCCAUUUUGCCCAUCACCAUGCCCAUAACCAUACUCACACCCAAGCUCACCACCUCAUCAUUCCUAACCUUCCAUGCAUAUUAGCAUUUCUUUAAUACUCUCUAACCCACUUCAACCUUCAUCUCUCAUCCAUCCUAUCCUUCAUCAAACCCAUCGCUUCACACCCAUCAAACUCUUCAUACUCGUUUUCUCUCUCUACAUUUCUCACUAAUACCCAUUUUUGGCUCAUUUCCUCCAUUUUAUCAUGUACAUGAAGUCCCAUGCAUGUGCCCAUCUUCGACUCAUCAUUUUCCUAAAUUUCAUGCCCGUCGCUAUGUCCCAUAUCUCUAUCUUGCAUUCCACCAUCAAAACCACUUCUUUCAAUACCCUAUAAACCCACUUAAUCUCACCACCCUUCCCUUUGUCUCGACCUCCAAGUCUAUCAUUCUCACUGCUUCAUUCACUCGAAUUUCUUCCCGUUCCUUCUCAUGUAAUGCGCAGCCCAUGCAUGCUUAUUCCUUACCUUGAUGCCUUCCAUACUCGGUGGCCUCCGCAUGCCAUGGUAAGGAUAGAAGAUACAUCCCCACACAUUUUUCCAAUCAACCAUUCCAUCCCGAUCUUGCACGCACACAGGUUUAGCCACUAUGGCCGCCAAGAGGCUAAAAGAGUUGCUAAAAACUCGCAAGCUUUUAGUGCGUGAAAACUCAAGUAUUACUAAUGGAAAUGGAACAAACGGGCAGAGCAAUGAGAAGUCUCUAUGACGUUGGCUGGGUCAUGAGCUAGAAGUCAUGGUGAAUGUGCAUGAAGUUUGUUUUGAAUAUAAAAAGCAAAGGGUAUCUUCACUCAAUCGAGUUGUAGAAGCUGCUCCACGUAAAGUGAUUCCGCUCCCCACAACAGGAAAAGUGGAACUACGGGAGGUCCUAAAGCUAUUCCAUGGACUCAAGUUUCUCCAAUUCGAUAUGCCGCUGAUGCAUGAGCACAGUCCAAUAUUCAAGUUGGAGAUGUCCUUUGUUGGCCCACAAAUUUAGGAUGGAUGAUCGGACCUUCUAUACUUUAUGCAUCAUUUCUAACCGGUGCAGCUCUAGCUCUCUAUGAUGGAUCUCCUCUUGACCGCGACUUUGGAAAAUUUGUUCAGGAUGUGGGGGUAACUAUCUUGGGUGCAGUUUUGAGUCUAGUGAAGACUUGGAAGAAUACGAGAUGUAUGGAAGACUUAGAUUGGACAAAGAUAAAGUCAUCUGCUCCCACUAGAGAAACAUCCAACUUUGAUGAUGACCUUUGGCUUUCUUCAAGGGCUCAUUAUAAACCUAUUAUUGAAUGUUGAUGAGGCACAGAGCUUGUUUCAAGCUACAUCCAAGGAAGUAUGUUGCCACCGCAAGCUUUCAGAGCAUUUAGCACCACUGCGAUAACAACAAGCUUUGUCAUUCUAGAUGAAAAUGGUGUUCCCUAUCCAGGCGAUCAACCUUGUGUCGGUGAAGUGGGUUUGUUCCUUCUAAUCAUGGGAGUAAUUGAUCGGUUACUAAAUGCUAACCAUAAGGAGAUCUACUUCAAGGGAAUGUUAGUGUAACAAGAAAUAUAUCUUAGGAGACAUGGGGACAUCUUUAAGAGAACUAUUGGAAGGCUACAAAUGCGGAAGUUGACUCCGCUUUUCAAAGUGGGCUCAUUGUAAAUAUUCCUCUAGAGUGGGCCCAGAAGAAAACACUCGCUGUAUGGCCACCUUUAGCAAGACCAUCUUUGGGGCCACGUGGCAUUCUCCCAUUUCCCCAUUUUUAAUUUUGAGAUAAUUCUCCAAACUUUAGUUUGUGAACAAUUUUCCAAAAUCUAGUUUUUUUUUUUUAAAAAUAAUUUUAAUUCCUCAAUUUUCUUUUCAUCCUUAGAUCUUUUUUUUAGGUCCCAAAAAUCCAUUUUCCAAUAAAAUUUGCUGCCCUUUUCUUUCUGGCAAGCAAUUUUCGCAUUUUCUCUGAUUUUUAAAAUAAACAAGAAUUAAAUUUCGUAAUUCCAAGCGAUGGAAUUUGUGGAAUUGAUUCAUGCAAAAAUAAAUUGGGCUUUGUUGGGGACCUAACAUCAGUGGAUGUUUCCUCUAAAAAUAAAUUUGAGUGAAGUACAUUGUGAUAUCUGAUGAUUUCUUACCCGAUUUAGUGGCAUGUGUGACAUAGUUUGUGUUCAUUAUUAUGCACUAACCCCAUUUCUUGAUAGCGCAUUAUGACUUUCCUGUUGAGGUACGCAUGCACUCUCAUUUUGGCCAUUCUUCACAGGUGUCUUGAUUCCCAUGCGAGUGAUCAUUUUUGGUAUCUCUUGAUCUACUAGUCAAUUGCCAUAUCUGUUUCAUUUUAUUAGUAGAGACCCAUUUUUAGGGACUUAGAGGGGUGCUAUGGUCUUUACCGUACCUUCUUGAUAAGUAACUUGACCCCCGAGCCCAAAUUUGGUUUUUCACGGACCAUAUUUUCCAAAUAAGGAGUCACACUUAGGGUUUUCUUUCUUAUUUUGUUUACCUUUUAAAAAUAAAAUCAAAUUAAGUGGAGACUCUAAGUCAUUUUUUAAAAAAUAAAUCAUUUUCAAAUAAAAAGCGAGUUCACCAUCGAGUAGAAGUGCAUGAGCCGAAAUGCAGGGUCCACACAUACACACUUAUUUUAUUUUAUUUUUUAUUCAAAUCUCCAAGGUUGUUGUUGGUUUCGAAAAGUAUUUAGGAAAGUAAAAAAUUAUUAAAGAAAAUGAUUUUUUCAUAUUUGAUUUACACAUGAAAAAUACGAAAGAAAAUAAAAUAUAAUUAAUAUUAAUUAAAAAUAAUUAAAAUUUUAAAUUAUUUAAUCAUCAUAUAAAAAAAGGAAAAAUAAGUGAUACGAGUUUUGAAGUAACACAUAAAAUAAUUAAUUUAUUUUAAAUCUAUUUUUUAUUUUCCUCUCUAUUUUUUUUCCUUCACAUUUUCCAAAACCAAAUAUAGCCUAAAAAUAUAUAUAUAAAUUUUAAAAAUAAAAUAAAUUUAUAAGGGUUAUUAACAAAAUUUGAAAUCAAGUGUGGUAUGUUUAUAUCAAACCUCAAAGGGAUUAAGUGAACUUAACCAUUAUUUAAUCUUAAUUUUAAAGAUUUUUAGAUUUUAUGCUAUCUUUUAAAAAAAAUUAAUUAUUGGAAUAUUUUACUUAUAUAUAACCUAUGUUUUUUAUGGUUUUAAAAGGUUAUUCUUAACUAUCAUACAAAAAAGUGGCUAAAAUAGGAGUUUUUCCUUUGUAUCUAGCAAUGAUCUAAUUUAUUAGUACUUAAUUUUUAUUUUUAUUUUGUAUUUUGUAUUUUUUCUUAUUUUAAUUUUAUUUAAAUCUCUCUCUUUUUUAUUUCUAUUGUUUUUUGAAUGGUUUAAAUCUAGUUAUACCUAUACUAAAUUUGUACCUUAAAAAUAUAUGAAGUAUACGUAAUAAUUUUUUAUAUUCAUUGAUUUAAAAUGAGAACAACCACCUUUAUUACCAAGUAAUGAAAUUGAUAGAAGUAAUUCAUAUUUGAAUGAAGUUUGAUUAUUUAAUUCUCGUUUUGAGGCAUCUUGAAGUGAACUUUACAAUAAAAGUAAUCUUUAAAAAAAAAAUUCCAAAUUUAGAUAAUUUUUUAAAUAUUUAUCAAACUAGUACUCUCUUACCAUAUAAGCAUAUAUUAUUACUUUUAUGUCAAAAUCACCGUUGAUGACUCUUAGUUUUAAAUUGGUGGUUUAUUUUUUGGCUGACUAAAAAAAAAAUAAAAUAUUUAGUUUUUUUUAAUUAAGUUAAAAGUAAUCUAUUGAUAUUAAUCUACAUAUAUAAAAUAAACUUGUUAUUAAUAGGUUCGAUUUAAUUAUAUUGAUUUAUAUUAAUAGAUUAUUUUUAAUUAAAUAAAAAAAACCAAAAAACAAAUACCACUUCAAAGUUCAAAUCAUAAUUAGUCAAUAUAGUUUUAACAAUAAAAGCACAAUCCCCAAUCAUGAUUUUGAUAUUAAAAAAAAAAAGAAAAAAAUAUAACAUGUCAAUAUUGAUGUGAUAAGAAGUAAUAGUUUGAAAAAUAUUUUUAAAAAUUGUGUAGAUUUUUUUUUAAUAAAAAAAAACUACAUGAGAGAUUAAGAAUUUGUUUAGAAAUUGUUUUUAAAUUAAUUUUUUGUUCUUUAGAACAAAAUCAAAGAAUAGGAAAACACGUUCAAUAACUAGAAAACAAAAAAUAGGGCAUUUUUAGAUAACAUUUUUUUAAAAAAAAAUUGUUUUCACUUAUCUUAUGAUUACUAUUUUAAAAAAUAAUUAUAAAAACAUGGAGAAUGACUAAAAAUAAAGUAAUAAAUAUAAAAAUUUAUUUUUAAAACAUUUAAAAAUAUAAAAAAUAGGUUAAAAACAUUUUUCGUUUCGACAAUCUUUUAAAAACUCUUCCUAAAUAGAGCUUAAAUUUGUGCAAACUCUUUGGAAUGUGUGUUUUUUAAAUGGUGGUUUGGGUUAGAAUGAUUUGUUGUCUAACUUCUUUUGAAAUUAACCAUAUAUACCUAUAGUAUCUUAGCAUGCUGCAGUUCCAUCAACAAGAUUUUCUUCACCCUUUGAAUAUUGAUAUUGAAUUUAAUAUUUAACGAUGUUUGAAUAGGUCUUCCAAACUUAUUUUUUAAAAAUGAUUUAUUAAUAUUUUAAAUCUACAAGGUUUUCUUCACCUUUUGAAUUUGAUAUUGAAUUUUAUUUUUAAUGAUGUUUGAAUGGGUCUUUCAAACUUAUUUUUUUUUAAAAUGAUUUAUUAAUAUUUUGAAAAUAUAACAAAUUCAAAUUUUAGUCAAAAUGUGAGUGAAAAUUUUUAAAAAUAUUAAAUCAUCCUUACUUUAACAAAAUCAUCUUUAAGAUAUAGUUUUUUAGAUAUAUUGUCAUCUUUAAGAUAUAGUUUUUGGAUAUAUCGAUUUGGUAAAAAUGAUAUUUGUUUUUAUUUUAUUUUUUAUAUUUAAAGACUAUAUUUAAUUGGUUGAACAUAAUAUGAGAUGGAAUAAGAGAUAGAGAUAAUACAUCUUAUUUGUUAGGUUGAGAUAGAUAAGAGUUGAGAUAUAUUAUUUCAAAUAUUUUUUACAUAUCGUAUUAAUAGAAUAUGGUAUAUAUUUCAAAUUGUAAGGUAAUUGUAAUUGACUCCAUUCAGUUCGCUACAAUAGAACUCAACCAUUAUACCUAUUUUGUUUGAUCUUAUAUACGAUCAAAUUUACCUGCCUAAAAGGAACAUGGACUCUAACUUAUUCACUUUUUCUACCAAAAUAAAUUGGAAAUAUUUCAAAACCGGUAAGCAUACAAUAAUCAGAAAGUGCAUAGUUUUUUUCCUAUGUUUUUUUCUAUAUAUAGAGAUACCAUUCUUUUAAAUAAUUCUAAUAACCAUCGAUGUGAAAAGGCAAUGUGCAUUAUACUUUUUAUUUAUUCUCUAUAAUAAAAGUAAGGAUGUAUUUUGUUAUGAUUCUUUGUUUAUCCUCAUUUGUUGAAAUAUUUACAAUAAUAUCAUUAGUAAUUUACAAAAACAAAACAACUUCUUCUCCAUCGUAUAGGGGUACUAUUAGCCCUUGAGACCUUUGACUCGGAUGAUGGAACUAAGGGCUUCAUGUUGCACCCAUGAGGCCUCUAAGAGGAAAGCAAGGAAAACUUAGAGGUUUAGUGGGACAACACUAAGGAAGCUAAGUGAGGAGACAACAUUAAUGUUGGUAAGCAGAGCACCCAUAGGAUGCAUGCCCAGGUCAUGGGCAUAGGUCGAGUGUACUAGGCGCUUGUGUGUGCAUAGCCUUGCACCUGUGUGCACAUCGUCCCUUGCCCAUGCACACACAUAGUUGCACCUGUGUGCGCAACACCUCGUACCCCUAUGGGCAUGAUGCACAUGCACUCCUAUGUACUUGCACACUUGGGUAUCUUUAGCACCUAGACACACACCCUAAGGCAACUAUGGUGAUGAUGCAAAUGGAAUAUGAGCUUGAUGGGGGCAUUUAUUUAUUUAUUAAAUAAUUCAUUAUGUCUCUUCAAGUAGGUUGGAUGUUUCCUCUACAAAUUUCCAAAACGACUCAAACUACUCUUCAAGGGAGGGGUAGGUGAUUCAAGGGGGCACCAAGGCCAAGCCUUGGUCACAUCAAGGGGGCACCAUGGCAUGGCCAUGGUAGUUAAAUGACAUGUUAGCAGGCACACAUGGGCUACAUGACAUGUGUGGCGUGCAACCCGUGGCCUCAAUAGAAGUGUGUGUGGUGAUACUUAUCAUUUUUGGACGAUAGUGCGAGAACACUCAAUUCAUGAAGGCAUGGGCGCAAUGCCAUGGCACGAUGGGGCAACAAGACACAUGACUUACUCAGAUUGGAUGGCUAUGCAUGGCAUAAGGGCAUAAUGCCCUAUGCAUGAGAGCAACUAAGCCAUGGACAUAAUACCAUGGCUCAUUAUAGUAACCAAGAUGACUUGGGGUGUUGUUGUAGCAAACACACCAAUAGGUAUGGUGAUGCAUGACAUGACACGAGCAAGACCCAAUGAAGGCCUUACAACAAAUGGAGCCCAACUUAGAUAGAAGCCCUUAAAAACCAUGGGCACCUUCACAUGGCAUGGGCUUGGCCAUUAGUGUGGGAAAGGUACAUUGAUGCAUUAGAGAGACCUAGACACAAUCACAUGGUUGAUUCAACAUGCUCGUUCAGAAGGGUUGGCAUCCUUUGGCUCAGAGGCAUCUUUGUGAGCACUUGACUAAUAAGAGGCACCUUGUGGGGCACCCAUCAAUAGAUUCACCUUAUACGAGUAGCUUGAAAUGAAUGAUUAGAAAAAGGCAUCUUGAGAAGUUGCAUUUAUUGGGAAAAUGCACAUGGAGUGCAACAACCUUGACAUAACAUGGAAAGAACAUAAAGAUUUUUGUUGGCUACAAAUGGCAUGAAGAGACACCUUGGUUUGAAAGGGUGUCUCUAAUUGGGUGGUUGUGACUGUUGCACAACCACCACUACCAAAAUUCUGAUUCAAAUUCAAGUGCAAAGGGAGGCAUUGUGUAUAAAUAGCCUCUUGAAUAUUAGAGAGACUAAGAUAGAGAAAGCUUGACGGGAUGUAAGCAUUGUGUGGGUUCUCUGACUCUUGUAUAAGUGUUGUGAUACUUGAACAAUUUUGUAAUCUCUUGUCAUUGAUCAAUAACACAAGUUGGGGCACUAAUUUUAUUGGGGGCAUUUAGGAAAGAUUGGCUAAGAAAGAGUUCUUAGCUUCGCACACUUAGGAAAAAAUUGGUGGUGAUUUUCUAUGGUGUGACAUGUACCAUCAUAAAUAAUUUGAAAAAUUAGGGACAAAUCUUUUUCAUUGGAUCAUCCACUCACCCUUUCUCCCACUCACUCCCCAUUACACUCUCACAUGUGACACAUGCAUUUUCAUAUUAGCUUAAACAUUUAACUAGCCAAAUAAAUUAAAAAGUUGUACGAUAAUAAUAAAAUUCAAUUUUAGAUGAUUUAAAAUGUGUUUGAUAGUAUUUCUACUCGAAAUAUUUUUAGUGAAAGUGUGUUUAAGGGAAUCACUUAUCAAAUGUUUCUUUAGAAAACACUAUAAGUGAUUUUUCAAUACAAGUAUUUUUCAUAUUUUUAAAAGUAUUUUCUAAAUUAUGUCAAAUACUUAAUUUUUUUAAACAACACUUUUUAGGCUAAAAGCGCUUCCUAGAAUUAUUGCCAAAUAGACUCUUAGGCUUUAAGUGUUUUUAAAAGGAAUUCUAAAAAUAAUUUUUUCUAAAUGUUUUUAAAACUUUAAGAAUUUGAAAUCUUUAUAACCUAUUAUGGACUUGCAUUUUUCAUGUGUUCCCACUCAAUGGCGAGACUCAUUUUAAAAUUUUUUUUUUUUGUGAAAAAAUUGGUUUUUAGAAAAAAAUGGAGUUGCCACUUUUUUUUUUUCUUUUUUAAGGAAAAAAAAUAAGAAAUAAAAUCUUAAAAAUGACUCUUGAUUUGAAAAAAUGUGUCUUUGAAAACCUGAGUUUAAGUUUGAGGGUCAGGUUACUUAUCGAGAAGGUACCAUAAUGGUAGUACCCCUCUAAGCCCUAAAAUUGGUAUCUACUAAAUGAGUUAAGGUAACUAUGGAAAUUGGUUGGUUAACCUAUGGAUACCAAACAAUACACAUAAUAUACAAUGACCAAAGCAUAUAUCGGAAAAUAAUCAUAUGAAUAAAAGUGGAGAGAAAUGUACUUGAGCAGCAAGUAAUAAUAUACUAUAAAAAGAAACAAGGUUAAAACAAAGUAAUAAGCAUAAAACAUCUAAUAUCCUAGAACAAGGCUAAAUCAAUCAUUUAUUCAAUAAACACAGUAUCUAGAAUCAAUUAAUAAAGGAGUACAUCAUGUAUAUUGAGUCUUACCGCCAUAUAUUUUAUUUCCGCAUGUAUUAAUUAUAUAAAUUCCAUUCAUUUAAGAAUUAUAAAAUUUAUUCAUGUUAUUAAUGUUGUGCAAAUCACGACAAAUAAUAAUAAUAAUAGGGAAAAAAGAAUAAGAAAAUGAAAAUCAAAACAUACAACAAUUUACAUGGUUCGGCCUUAAGCCUAUAUCCACGGGCAAGGACGAAGAACUUUCACUAUUGUUAAAGGAGAUUAUAACUCUUGAAACUCUCAAAUCUCAAAGCCCCAAUUUAUACCCAAAAAGAGACUUACUAUUUUGGUCAAAAUCCGUUCUUAUAUUUUUUUUUCCUAAUUACAAAGGAAGUUUCCAUAUGAAAAACAAAGUGUAUAAUUGUCAAAAAUACAUUUUCCUAAAAAGAUCUCAUAAUAGGAUAUUUCCUAUAAUAAUAGGAAACCCACUUUCAAGAAUAUCUUCUAUUAGGAAACUAUCAAUAACUUUCCAAAUUAACUCAAAAUAUAAUUUAAGACUCUUUCUAACAAUGUCCACCUUGGCUCAAAUUCCCAAGAUUCAAACAAACUUGAAAGUCUUCAAAGUUACUUCGCUCCCAUACCCCAUAGGGGCCUUCAGAUACUACUAAUACCAAUUAAGUCAAAGCAAUGCUUGAAUUUAAUUGUAGGAAUGAACUUAGUCAUCAUAUCUACGAGAUUGUCCACCGUAGAGAUUUUUUCACUAUAAUAGCACCCUGUGCAAUCGCAUCCCUAAUAAAAUCCGACAUCAAUAUGUUUGGUCAUCUCAUGGAACAUCUGAUUUUUAGUCAAAUAUAUGGCACUUUGGCCAUCAUAAUACACAACGGUUAAUUCCUAUUAUAAGCCUAAAUCGCUAACCAAACCCUUAUGCCAAAUAGCUUCUUUCAUUGCUUAUGUGGUUGCCAUCUAUUAUGCUUUAGUGGUUGAUAAAGCAAUUGUAGAUUGCAAAGUUGCUUUCCAACUAAUAACACUACCACAUAAAGUAAAUACAUACCCUGUUAGAGAUCUUCUUCUGUUUAAAUUUCGUGCAUAAUCAAAAUCAACAUAACUAACAAUUUUCCUAAAGAUGUCAGUACUUUUUCAUAUACUAAGCCAAUAUGUGAUGUUCUGAUUAAGUAUCGAAGUAUCCAUUUCACUGCUUGCCAAUGGAUCUUUCCAAGGUGAUCUAUAUAUCUACUCACCACACUAAUUGCAUGUGAAAUGUUUGGCCUAGUGUAGACCAUGGCAUACAUAAUGCUCUUAACUGCACUAGCAUUAGGAACAUGUGACAUGUACUCUCCCUCUUCUUCAGUCUGUGGUGAUAAAGGACUAGAAAGUUUGAAGUAAGAUACUAACGGAGUACUCACUGGUUUUGACCCUUGCAUUCCAAAGUGUUGUAACACUUUCUCAAUGUACUUUUUCUAUGAUAAGUACAAUUUCCCUGCUUUUCGAUUUUUAUGAAUCUUCGUACCUAAUAUUUCUUUGCAAAUCCAAGGUCUUUCAUUUCAAACUCUCAUUGAAGUUGAGUUUUCAAGCUAUUGAUCUCAGACAUAUUCUUGUAGGAAAUUAACAUGUCAUCAACAUAUAACAAUAAAUAAAUGAAAGAAUCAUCAAACAAUUCCUUGUGAUAAACAUAAUUAUCAUACUCACGUCUAUGGUAGCCAUUCCCAAUCAUAAAAGUAUAAAACAUUUUAUACCACUGCCUAGGAGAUUGCUUCAAACCAUAAAGAGAUUUCUUCAAUAAACAAACAUGGUAUUCCUUUCCUGAAAUAAUGAAUCCCUCGGGUUGCUGCAUAUAAAUCUAUUAUUCCAACUUACCAUGUAGAAAAACAGUCUUUACAUCAAGUUGCUUUAACUUUAAUUCAAAUAAAGCAACCAUAGCAAGUAACACCCUGAUUUGAGCUAUGCUUCACAACUAGAGAAAACACUUCAUUGAAGUCCACACACUAUUUUUUUUAUGUAGCCCUUUGCUACCAAGCGUGCUUUGUACCUCACAUCCUCUGCUUUUGGAAUUCCUUCCUUUUUUUUAUAAGACCCAUUUGCAACCAACAAUCUUUUGAUUUUUAGGUUUCUCAACUAGUUGCCAAGUGUGGUUCUUUUGAAGAGAUUCAAUCUCCUCAUUCAUAGCAACAAUCAACUUCGUAGACUCUCUACUAAUGAUGGCUUCAUGAUAAGUUUGUGUCAUACACAUGCUCUCUUUCAAUGCAACCAAAUCUGCAUAUACCUUUGUGGUGGUUUACCUCUUUGUUCUAUCUUUAGCCAAACAAUAUUAUUGCUCUUGUGGUGAAUUUUCUUUAUCAUCAAAAUGUUGCACUUUUUCCUCAUUUGAAUUUAUUGAAAUCACUUUUUCUAUGGUUUAUGAAACUUUAGUCAUAAACUCCACAUUUUCUCUCACACUAGGGUCAUUUUCUGUAUGAAGUUGCUCCUUCCUAAAACUUAACAUUGCAGACUCAUUUAAAAGUCACAUCCAUGCUAAUAUUAAAUUUGGAGAAUUUUGAAUCUGGGCACCAUAACCUAUACCCUUUCACUCCAUCGGCAUAUCCUAAGAAUAUGCACUUCCUUGCCCUUGGUUCCAACUUCUUUCCUUCACGUGGGCAUAAGUAGGACAACAAAAAAUUCUUCAAUUAACAUAAUUAGAAGGAGAUCCAGACCAUACCUCUUAUGGAGUCCUACAAUUUAUAGGAAUUGAAGGAGAUCUAUUCAUAAGAUAAUAAGCUAAAUUUACCGUUUCAACCCAAAAUUCCUUUGACAACCCUGCAUUCGAAAGCAUGCAUCGUGCUUUCUCUAAAAGAAUUCUAUUCAUCUUUUUUGCAACACCAUUUUGCUGUGGAGUAUUCGUAACUGUGUGGUGUCUCACAAUACCUUCAUUCUUGCAAAACUCAUUGAACUCUUUGCCACAAAAUUCCAUGCCAUUGUCAGUUUUCAAGUACUUGAUUUGUUUUCCAGUCUGCUUCUCGAUCAUGGCUUUCCAUUGCUUGAACUUCCCAAAGACAUCAUUUUUAAGAUAUAUACCUAGACAUUUCUAGAGUGAUCAUCAAUAAAGGUCAACAUAUAUCUUCCACCAUCAUGUGAUACAACCUAAGAAGGGCCCUAAAGAUCCGAAUGAAUAUAAUCCAAAGUACAUUUAGUUCUGUGAACAUCUAUACUGAAUUUCACCCUACAUUGUUUCCCAAACACACAAUGCUCACAAAAAUCUAGUUUUUCUGUUUUCUAUCCAUCAAGAAAAUCUCGUUUACUUAAAAUUGUUAAUCCUCUCUCACUCAUAUGCCCAAGCCGCAUGUGCCACAAUCUAGUAGUCUCUAUAAUUGAUUAUAAGGUUGAAACUAUAGUUGCACCUAUAAUUGUGCUACCCUGCAAUGUAUAAAGACCAUUAAUUUUCCUUCCUUUCAUCACAACAAGAGCACCCUUUGAGAUAUUCAAAAAUCCACCUCCAACUUUAUAUGUGCAUCCAUUGGAGUUAAGUGUUCUUAAAGAAAUCAAAAUUUUCUUCAGUUCUGGAACAUGUUUUACAUUAGUUAAUGCCCUUAUAAUGUCAUCAUGCAUCUUAUAGGCUACAUUUUGUUUCCCAUGAGAACCUUGCCACCAUCUAUGGGUUGGUUGGUACUAAACCAAUCCCUAUUGGGAGACAUAUGAUAAGAGCACUCUGAAUCAAGAAUCCACUCAUCACCUGAGUUUGUAAUAGUAACUGAAAGAACAUUUGUAUUAUUUGAAUUUUCUUCUGCAACUGUUGUAUCACCAUAAUUAGAAGUUUUCUUUUUUUCUUUUCCUUUACGAUCUGAACAAAUUUUCACAUAGUGCCCUUCUUUCUUGUAUUUGAAACAUUUGUUGUUUCUCUUGUACUUUGAUCUAGAUUGACCUCUUCUGCCAUUAUUUUUCUUUCCUGUUCUCCCUCUAGUCAUCAAACCUUCAUCGAAGUCAUCUUUUCUACUUUCAGACACCCUUUUCUUCAACUCCCUUAAGUUCAAGGCUUCUCUAACAUCUUCUAUGGAGAGAGUAUCUCUACCAUACAUCAUGGUAUCUACGAAGUGCCCAUAAGAAUUUGGUAGGGAACUUAUCAAAGUCAUGGCUUGGUCUUCAUCAUCAAUUCUAAUGUCAAUAUUCCUUAAAUCCAUGAUAGUUUUAUUAAACUCAUCAAGGAGGUCUUUAAUGGACAUAAAUUUUUUCAUAUGGAGAGUAUGCAAUCGCUUCUUUAAAUAUAAGCGAUUUGUAAGAGACUUUGUCAUGUACAAACUUUCCAACUUCAACCAUAACUUGGUAGCCAUAUUUUCUUUUGCAACCUCACGAAGCACCUCAUUACCCAAGCACAAUAGAAUAGUACUAUGUGCUUUCUCCAUAAGUUCAUCAUUUUCUUCAUUAUACAUUGUUGUAGGUAAAGCCUCUAUACCUUUUAGUGAUUUAGACAACCCCUGUUGAACCAGUAAGGCACACAUCUUAACACGCCACAAAUUGAAAUCGUUUCUCCCAUCAAACUUCUCAACCUCAAACUUUGUUGUCAUUCCGGUUCUAAUAAUCUUAGCUCUAAUACCAAUUUGUUGUGCAAAUCACGAAAAAGAAUAAUAAUAGGGAGAAAAGAAUAAGAAAAGCGAAAAUCAAAACACACAAUUAAAGCUCUCAAAUCCCAAAACCCUAAUUUAUACUAAAAAAGACUUACUAUUUUAGUUAAAAUCUCUUUCUAUAUUUUUUCCUAAUUACAAAGGAAGUUUCUAUAUAUGAAACAAAGUGUAUAAUUGUUAAAGAUACUUUUUUCUAAAAAGAUCUCAUAAUAAGAUAUUUCCUAUAAUAAUAGAAAACUCACUUUCAAGAAUAUCUACUAUUAGGAAACUAUCAAUAACUUUCUAAAUUGACUCAAAAUACAAUUUGAAACACUUUCCAAUAAUUAAAAAUCGGCAAAUUGAGAAAAUUGAAAAAAUAUAUAUAUAUUUAAAAAAAGUCAAGGAAAAUGAAAGUAAGCCUGCUAGAAGGAAAGAAUGGCAGCACUUUGACUGAAAUCAUAUUUCACUAACGACUUAAAAUUUGUAGGGAAGAAAAAAAAAAAAAAAAGUUAAGGCAACAAGAUUAUUUGAAAGCUGGAUUUUUUUUAGAUCAAUUUCUGAAAAGCAAGGAUAAAGGGUAAGGGGUGAGACACAAGGGUUUUAAAAUGAUGCACAGGAGGGUGGUCAUGCAUGCUGUGAAAAGCAUCAUGUCCAAUAGUUUUUCUUGGUGAUCCACGUGUUAAGGAGAGAAUCUGAUUAAUACACGUGACAAGAGUUCUGGUGUCCUUCGACCAAAUAUCACUGACUGGUCAACGCUGUUUUCUGAAGGAUGCUGAACUGAUUCCAUUGAAGUAGAAUUCGGAAAACUUGCAUUAUCUGCUUGCCUACUAGCAGUCAUAGUCCUCUUCUCUACUGGGGUCCUUUUUCUUUGGUUCCAAUUCAAUGCAUCACUGAUUCAUCUUCUCCCCAAUUAAGUCAAGACCCACAAGGAGGAAGGUCACCCCUUGAAAGAGCAGAAAGCAGAAGUGAAUUCCUUGGGUUGCCAUAACCAUCUACCAGAAGCAGCAUAAAUAUUCGACGACAGCACACAACGUGGAUCACGUCCAGAACUAAAGUUAGAAUUCACCUUGACAAACUCUUCCACCACCCUGUCAACCAUCUCCAUAUCCAAAUGAACCCGGCAAGCUCCGUGAAGGGCACCCUAGACUGUAUCGGCUAGUUUCAUUGACAUUCCCUUGAUCAAAUCAUGAGCCUCUUUUAUUCUCCUUUGUCCGUGGAUAGCCAAAACCUGAGAUCAUGGAAUUCCAACACGUCCUGUUCCCAUGAGCCAUCCCCUCAAAGAUCAAUCUUGCAUUGGCUAAAUCUUCAUAUUCAGCAUCCAACAGACCCAAUUGAGAACAAGCAGAUAAAACACUGGUUAUUGAAGAAACUUUUGUACCAGCUCCAUUGGAAAUGAUCCCAUUGAAGAAAACCAUUAAAAGCAGAAACCAACCCCAUCUUCAUCUUGAACCCCUAAUCACAAACACCAAAUUUACCCUGUUCUUAUGAUCACAAAAGGUUCUAGACUGAAUAAAUAAAGUUGCAGAGUACUGGUCUGAGCUGGCAUAUCAUCAUCGUCAUCACCAUCAUCCCAUUGUGAAAAGCAGAAAGAAUCCAUGGCAUUGAACCUUGAAGGUUGGCAAAAAUUAAGGUGAAACAGGAGUUGGGUUUCAGUGGAAACCACUCAUCAGUCUCAUCUGCAGUCCUGUGGUCUAUUUGUGGUAUCCCUUUAAGAAGAAAAUGGAGAAUAACUCCUGCAUUCUUCUUCAGUCAAUUGUACAAUCCUGCUCAAUGUAGACUCCUUUCAUCUCUCUCGGUGACUUGGAAACUCGGCCUGACUCGGGUGAUUCAGUUUUCUGAGUGGACUUGGCCAUUGUGUCCCCUUGAUGUUUCAAUUCUGAGGUGCGUUGUCUGCAUGUCAACUGAUUUUCCAACAGAUGUCUUAAGGCCCAAACUUUCAUAAGCACUCUUGAAAGCUAUGGCAACUCAAAGACUUCAAUCCAACAAUUUCCACAGCAUUGGCGUGGACCAGGGUGCAUAUCAGAUUCUCUGUUCAUUCAUUCAGGCCUUCUUCUCUUCCUUGGUUCCUUUAACUGACUGUAUCGUCUCCAUGAAGCUCCAAUUCUCCUGCCCAGCUGGUUGAGAGGAUGAGAGAAGAGACUGGACAAAGAAAUGGAUGAAGAGUGGAGACCAAGGCUGGUGGGAACACGUACAGGUAUGGAGGUAUACCACCACCACUACUUGAGUGUCUAUGGAGAGAUGUCCCAUCUGCUGUUUGCGAAUCGCUGGAAUAGGUACAAUUAGAUUCUACAGCCGUCAUAUUUCCAACUUCAUGCAGUUUAGGUGAUUAGAAUUUAGUCAGCAGGUGUAAUGAACGGAGAGCCUCUUCAUCACUCUCAAAUUCACAGAAUCCCAAGCCUGCCACCUCUUCCAUUGCUAGGUAAGAACGUCUCUUUCAUUACUAAACAGCACAGCAUCAAAAACACGUCGCGAGUAUAAAAUUUUAUUGCUUCAGAUUGCUUAAAAGUCUUCAUUUAUGUGCUAUAAUAGCCAGUCAAAUUGUCAGGAGGAUAAUUGUAUUGAACCACUUAACCCUUAACUGAUGAAGUUUCAGAUGUAUAAGUCAUGUCAUUAAGAGCAGAAUAAAUAUUUCUGGCAUCAACCUAGUUCACUACUCUGUGAAUCUUCCAUCUUAAAUCUCUCCCGGACCAUGGAAGACGCGAAUUUGUGGUUUUGGAGCCCUUUCCGCGGUAAGAAUGCCCCUACCAGAUAUGCUAACCGCUUGACCACAGGUUAUUGACACCAGACAAGCUGAUGAAGACUGGUGUUCUUAUUUCUUGCAUCUGCUUUCCAAUCUCCGCAACAGCUUCAAUACUGGUUCCAUAGAGAUUCCCAUGAACAUUAUUAGCCUUCACAUUCCUAUCAUCCCAUUCAAAGUCAUUCCAAUAAGACGAAUCAUGCCAUGACCAUGUGAAUGCACCCCAAGUGGAACUGCAGGUUUAACUCUGAAAAUGCUGUCACAUUGCCACCUUAAACUUUGUGUCACUUCAAAAUAGAAUUCCGGUGUAUCUCCAGUAGCUGCUCCAUGGAGUCUCAGGUAGUGCUUCUGAGAUAGCUGAUUCUUAUAAAGUACCACAAGUUACUUUGUUUAACUGGGAAAUCAGAGGGUUCUCCUUUGUGUAUUCAGAAUAAGCUGCAGCAUCUCUAUUCAUGGGGAAUUCGAGAUUCAGUAGAUCAUUCACAGACUUUGCUUCAUAAUCCCAGAGUAGUCUUUCCAAUUCUUUGUUUAUCACUUUAUACAGAUGGCUCAUAAAAAAAGAAACUGGUGCUUCUGGGCCACUAAAACCAUCAUAUAUCCCAAAAAACAACCACCCGUGUUCUUCAAAAAGCACAACAUGAACCCUUUGCAAAUUGCGAGUUUUUCUAUACUCCCCUAAUGGGAAUCCUCCUCCAAAAUCAGCAAAACCAGUGAACCAGCUAAACCACUUUCCUCUGCUCUUCACCCUGAUUUUCUUUUCUCUGUUUUUCAGCUGCCCCCCUCCAUAGCUUCCCAUAUUCUUGUCUCCUUCUCAACAUAAAGCCACCUAAAUUGAUAUUCUGAUGAAUAACACCAGCCCCAAAUAAAGCACUCACAAAUGAUUACAGAAUCAGGCUUUAUUCCAGCCAUGCCCAUUUCCCAAAAUGACUAGAGAGUCCUGCUGGAAAAUCCAGUUUGCAUGCACACAGCAAUCAAAGCAUUCCAAGCUACCACAUCUCUUUCAAUCAUACUUGUUAGGAAAGUGUCCCAAAUUCCUAAUUGGUAUAGGUUUCUUUUUUGUAAAGAAUAUUAUAUAGAAUAUUUUUAGGUUGAUAUAUUAUUGUAAUAUUAGACUUCCUUAUAGAAUAAGGAAGAUUGUUGGAAAUAUCUCUAUAAAUAUUUUAGGUCAUGAGGGGAAAAAGUUAUGAGAUAAAGAUGGGCUUAUAAAGACUAUACGAGGUAGAUAGAGAUGUGAGAAAGAACGGGAGGUACCCGGUGGAGCGAGAGGGCUUGUGGUAGGAUAGGUAUAUGAAGAGUGGGGAACAUAGGAUGUUUUGGGAACUCAAUAGUUGUAUUUGGUUAUGUCCUCUGUAAUGUUCUGGUUCUGUCAUCUAUAAUAUUCUCUAUUGUAUAAUAAAAUGAUUCUCUCUCAUCCGUGAAUGUAGGCAUGGUUGGCCAAACCAUGUUAAAACCUUGUGUAUCGUUUAUGUUGAUUAUUUUAUCUUUGUGUUCUUGAUUAAUGAUGUUUGCAUCAAGCUUCUAUCAUUCAACAAAUUGAUAUAAGAUGCAACUAUUGGGUACUUGAAACAUCUCAUGUUUCCCCAUUCUUCGUAUCCAUAUCCUACCACGAGCCCUCUCGCUCCAUUGGGUACCUCUUGUUCUUCUUCACAUCUCUAUCCAUCUCGUAUAAUCUUUACAGGCGCAUCUCCAUCUCAUAAUUUUUUCCCCUCAUGACCUAGAAUAUUUAUAGAGAUAUUUCCAACAACCUUCCUUAUUUUAUAAGAAAGUCUAAUAUUACAAUAAUAUAUCAACCUAGAAAUAUUCUAUAUAAUAUUCUUUACAAAAAAGGAAUCUACACUAAUUAGGAAUUUGGGACACUUCCUAACAAUCUCCACCUUAGACCAAAUUGCAUGAAGUUAAUCUUCAAACUCUCCAUGACACAAACCUUUUUUUUUGUGUCAUAUCACCACGAGAGAGUCAUCGACUCCAUCUUCACUAAAAAUUCCUUUUGUUUUCAUCUUGUGUUUUCUAUGAUCUUUUACUGUUUUAAAAUUCUUCAAACCAGGCUUUGAUACUUGUUUGUUAUGGAAAAACGAGAAUAGACAACAAGAAAAAUAAGAACACACACAGAUUUAUGUGAAAAAACCCUGGAUAAGAAAAACCAUGAGUAGAGGAGAAGAAAAAUCCACUAUGUCAAAUAUUGGUACAAAAGGGGAGAGUAUCAAGUGGUUACUAUAUAAACACCUGAAAACCUAUACAUCAUCUCAUAAAAUAUAUAUGAGAGAAAAAAUAAAUAAAGCAGGAAAAAUCCAUAAUUUUUUUCUUCACCAUAUAUAUCGCACCACAAACUUUUCGAGUUAGACCAAAAAAAAGGAAAUCGAGUCACCAAGCUCUAACAAUACUCCCAAACAAGAACUCAACACAAUCUAACCUGCCAUCACCAAUUUAGUCUUCACAACAAUAACAAACUCCAAUUCAUGUUUCAGAACAUGGCCAUUGUCUAGGUGAACGAGUUUAGGAAUAUUUUCACCAACAUAUGCAGGAAUUUCCAAUGAAAUCAAAUGAGCCUUAAUGAGAGACACGUCAUGUAAAAUAUAAAAGGGCAAAGGAACACCCAGACGUUUGCCAAGGGGCACAAAAGAACCAUUUGCUAGCGGUUCACCAAGACUGGUCAAUGGCCUUGCGUAAUGGAUCAACAAUAUGAGAUUGAUUCCAUCCUUGGAUUGUUUUCCAACCUUCCAGAGGCACUUUUGCCAACAGUACUACCCAGUCCAACAAGCGACACAAGAGAAUCUUGAGUGGCAUUUUGAAGAUUUGAUGUUGUUUCAGUGUACUCAAUAAAGAAGGCACUAUCUCCUAGCAUGAGAUACUAAACCAAGUUCAAGUUUCUUAAAAGGCUCCUCAAGAACUCCUAGGAGGCUAGGAUUUUGUAAUCACAACUUUCACUUCCUAGGCUUGCACUCUCAGAUGGAGAUGCACAAACCAAAACAUUCCACAAAAGCAGAGAAGUAUAGAGAAGAAAAUGGAUAAAAAUAGAGCAAGAAUAAGGGAACUGAGGAUUUAUUAAGCCAAGCCUUGUUUGAUGAGUUAUCAACGGGCUUAGAAGUAGGUGAAUGAGACCAAAUGGAUUUCAAAUGGAAAUGAAAACAUGGUUGCAUGCAUCUCAUAGAGAAUCCAAAAUAGAGCCAAGUAAACAGAGUUGAAAUCAGGCAUAAAAUGAAGACACACAAACUUAGAUUCUAUAAGAACAUGUAAAAGUUUCCAAUGUUUGCAUUCAGGCAUCAAAAUAGAACCCAAGUAUACACAGAAAACAAAGUAGCACUGUAUGAAAACAAAAAAACGGAAAGCUUGUAGAAAUCAUACCUUUAUUAUUCCCUUCAAGACUCCUCCAUUUUGUUCUUCCUCUCUGGUUCCCAAAGAUUUGCUCUUUCUCUAAUCCCCUUUCUAAGCCCAACUCUCUCCUCCUGCAACUCUCUCUCUCUAUCCUUUUUUUUUUCCUCCAAAAAUCUAGAAGAGAAAGAAUGCCCUCCUCCAUAUCUAAAACCUCCUUUCUCUUCGUUUCUUUCUUUUCCUGCCACCAUAUUCUCCCAAAACAUGAAAGUUGAAAAACCCCCUUGGAAAAGUCCUCCCAAGAUCCUCACUGAAGCCUUUUUCUUUUCUUAAAAUGUUCUCCACAUGAUUUCCAUGGAGUUUUGACAAAAGAUAGGACAUUUUAAAAAAUAAAUUCAUAAAGUAAACUUGCUUCCAAAAUAAUGUCCAAUCUAAUGUGUUUGUGCCACAUAGGCUUUCACGCUAGAAAACUGUAAUUGGUGACUACAAUUUUGUUUUUUUUUUUUAAAUGAUCAAAAUUGUAGUAAUAAAUAAUGGCUUUAACUUUAAGCUUAAAACCGUAGUUGGUAACUAUGACUUUGACCAUUUAAAAAAAAAAAUCAAAAUGGUAGUUACCCACUACAGUUUUAAGCUUAAAGUUAAAGGCACAGUUGAUAACUAAGGUUUUGGAUUCUUUUAAAAAUGGUCAAAGUCGUAGUCACCAACUACAACUUUAACUUAAUUUUUUUUAUAUAAAAUUAUUUUGUUUCAUUAAAAAAGAUUUAACUUUAAUUUUUUAAAAUAAAAAUAUUAUAUUAUUUUGAUUUUAUAUAUUUUAAAAAUAUGUGAGUGGUUAAUAAACUUAUUUGAUUAUUUAAAAAAAAUAAUAUAUGAAAUUAAAUAGUUGAUAUUUUUAAUUUGAUAUAAAAAUAUUUUUGUUUAAUUUUAUUAAAAUAAUUGUCACUAUAUUUAAUAUAAAAGUAAUUAGUUAAUUAUAUUAAAUAUAAUAAAUCAUAUUUAUUUAAAACAAAUAAAUUAUGAAAGCCUAUUUAGAAAGCAAAAAAUAAUAUAAAUUAUUAUAUUAAUUAAUUUUUUUAUAUACUAUAAUAUAAGUAGUAUAUAAUAUCACAUGUAUAUAGUUCAAUUUAAGUUUAAAAUUUAUCAAAUUUUUAUUUAAAUAUAUAAUAAUUUGUUCAUAAUAAAAAAGUAAACAAUGUAAUAAAAAUGAAAAUAAACAUUAAAAAUGAAAAACAAUCAUCAAUGAGUGCCACAUGAUAGGACCUUCCACUUUCUCUAUUGACACUUACGUUGCAAAGACAUAUUUGUUGAAUCUAUUUAUGUAAUCUACCAUGUCUUCGUAUAUGUAGGUUGAGAUGGAGUUGAUGGAGGCAAGACUUGACAUCUAUGUGGACUACAACGUCGCAUAGGUGUGUAUACAUCUAGUUGUGUAAUAUGUGUAAGGGUAUAAUGCAUGGUAGUCUCUAUGGGAAAAGGUGUAGGUGAUGGUAAGGUGGUAGAUGGUGGGGCAAUCUCAAGUACAAUGAUAUUUGAUAUGGUAACAUCUAAGAGAGAUGAUAUAGAAGAUGGUAGAAUGACAUCUAAUGUAGUGGUCUCUGAUGCAAUAACAUCUGAUAUACUGGCCUUGAGGAGAAAAGAUACAAGUGAUGAUGGUGAGGUAACAUUACUAUUAUUUAUUGCAUUUUAUGGGAUAUUAUUUUGGCUUUUUCUGUCGCCAUUUUCUGGCCACCCGAGGGUGAGCUAGGUAUUGUCAUUUGAGGGAGUGGGGGACGAUCUCCAUAGGGGAACGGGCUGCAUGAGACGCGUAACAAAGGACACUGCUACCUCAACAUGGUGGUGGUUAGGAUGGAGACAUUUUUCUGAACGGAGGAGUGGAAGGACUUUGAGUGCAACUGUUAUAGGAAGGUGCAAAGUAGUGAGAGACUGUGGAGGAGGCUUGGGGAAGAAGCAAUAAGAGUCAUGAGGGAGCAAUUCAUGAGAUUAAGGGCAAUGAGAAGAUGAGAGGAGAUCUUGUUGAUUCAUAAAAAAGAAAGUAGAGGUGGAAGCCAUGCAACUCUUGGUUAUGAGGGAGCAUUCCAAGUAAGGCUACUGUGAGCUUCUUGUCACUCAUUUUCACACUAUUUCAUUCUCAUUUUCAGCUACUUUUAUGAGCAUUUCUUUGUUGAUUGGUGUGGACAUCAAGGGCCACUCGUUUGCUUUGUUGGAUCUGACUCUCUACAUGCAUGCUCUGUUUUGGCUUUAUUUUGGUAUUUUUGUUUUCUUUUGUAGAUACCUGAUGCAUUGAUCUUUCCUUGAAUCUGAUAUACAAAAAUCAUGCUCUUGUUCCUUGAUAAUUCCACUUGUUAUUAGCCUAUGGAUGUCACUUGAAAUGAGGCUUUAUACAUCCAUGUUUUGCUUGAUUCUUAUUUGCUCUUCCUUUAGUUUUUACUCUAGCUUCUAUCCUUGCUUUUUAUUCCUCUAUUUUUGGUAAGUUAAGGUGAUGGGCAUUUAAGCUUGGGUUAUCCAUCUUGAUUGGGGUGUUUUCUGGGAGAGCCCCAUGAAGGAAAAUUCUAUACGAAUGGGUAUUUUUGGAUACCCACGAGCCAUGUGGUCCAUAUUGAAACGCCUAAGGAUGUAAUAGAGGAAUAUAGAAGAGGAUGAGUAAAUCUCUACUUGAUGCUCUGGACAUGGGUGAGGCAACCAUGUAGAAUAGGGUACUUUAGACUAUAAAUCUUUCUCUGUGGGCAUAAGCGGUUUUCCUCGUGCACUAUGGUCAUAGUAUUUGCUAGUUUUCAUGGUGGUUAAAGUGUGGACUUUCUUGAUCUUGUGCAUGACAUGCACCAAUUUCUAUUUACAAGGUCAGUUACAAGAUGGCAUCUAGAAUAUGCAUGCAUAGAUAUCUGACAAGCUUCACAAAGGUCAAGACUCUUGAAAUGUAGAAUGUUUGGGUUUAUUUCAUUAGUAAGCCUAGGUGAUGGCACCUGGCAUGUUGACUUGAUUCAGUAGAAUAAUGACUUAUUCUUGCAUGAUGGAAGGCUAAUCUUUGUGAGGGUCAUUGCAUAAAAUAUGAUUUCUUGAAAUUUAGAUAAAGUGGUAAUUUGCAUCUCACAAUGCAAGCUUUUGAUUGAAGUUCAUGAGGGAAAGUAGUUGCAUCCCAUGCUAAAUGCAGAGUUUUGACCCAAAAUGCAACAUUUAAAAAAAAAAUCCAUAAAGUAAACCGAUUUUGAAAAUAAUGCCCAAUCUAGUAAGUCUGUGCCACGUAGGAGACCAGGUCAAGAAACCGUAGUCACUAAUUACGGUUUUGAAUUUUUUUUAAAUCAUUCAAAACCAUAGUUGGUAACUACGAUUUUGAAUCCUUUAUCCGUUUCUUUCCUAGUAGGUUUCUUCCUUUCCUUGUUAGGUUUCUUAUCUUUAAGGUUUCAUCUUUCCCGUUGCAUUCAGUCGUCUUUAGUUCAUCAUUGGCUCAAAUUCAAAAUUUGGAAGUCAUUGGUCAAGUAAGAUUUAUGUGUUUGGUUUCUGUUUGGUAAAGAUGUGUUUGAUUUUUUAUUUUUUAUUUUUUAUUUUAUUUUGAUUGUGAGCUUAGCAGAAAGAAAAAGGUUUUUUUUUUUUGGUAAAGAAAACAGAUAUGAGAUGGGGGGCCACCAUGGAUUUUUUUUGUUAAAGAUACCAAAAAUGGAGGGGACCACUGUUAAGAACUCCAAAAAUGGAAGGGACCACUGUAAAAAAACUCAAAAAAUGAAGGGGAUGAGCAGUGAUUUUUGUUAUAAGAAUAGAAAAAAUAGGAAUACUCCACUUUUCAAGGGCCAUAUUUAUUUUAAGUUAGGAGAUUGAAGGUGUGGGGUCGGUUUCUACAUCAUUCUCCAAAUUCUAUGAAUGUUUGGUUGCCCAGAAAAUAGAGGAAAGUAAUGCUAAAGUUUGUCAUUUGGGUAGGGUAGAACUCCAGAAAAUAGAGGAACGUAAUUCUCCAAAUUUUUAUCUUGUAAUAGAUUUUCUUCUUGUUCAAAUCCUAUGCUCUAGUUUUGUCCUUUGUCUCUGUUCCCAAAAUUUACCAUGAAGCUAUUGAUCACCCUAGUUCCAUCCUAAUGAAUGUAUUUGGUUGUGAAUUUGGGUUGCAAAGUGUUUUUUUAUAGUAGGCAAAGAUAGAAUAUGUUGGCCUCAUAAAACUUUAGAACAUCAUUUUUAAAUUGAAGAUGAGGCAUUUCAAAACAAGCCCCUGUACCUUCCACCUUAAAGUCAUUAAUGAAACCUCCUCUCAUUGCCCUUAACAUAAAAUAGCUCAAUUGCUCCAUCACUAGAAUGGGUAGAUAGGGCGUUAGUGGAUCUCCAUAUCUCAAACCUUUUGAGCCUUGAAAAAAAUAUUGGGAAAUUAACCAAUGUGAGAAAGCUAACUACAAAGAUAAAAAAUCUAAUCCUACCAACCAAUUUCUACCCCAAACCCAUACUGCUUGCUGAAAGCAAAAAAAAACUCUGAAUUUCAUGGUGGUUCACUUUCUAAAUAUCCAUCUUGUGUACAAGGGCUUGAGCUUUUGAUCUAGAUUAUGUGGCUUUAGUGGCUAUAAAAUUUUGUAUCCAUAAUCCAUCUCCACUCUAUGAAAGCACAUGAAACUUUUGGACCACCUUUGCUAAUGACUUUUUUAAGUCUCUUUGCCUGAUUUUCUCCAGAAGCUUAUGUGAAUUCACACCCCCAACCCCAAAUUAAUGGGCCUAAAGUUUUUCAUAUCCUCCACAUCAUCUUUUUAGAAGUUAACACAAAUUAUGUAGUAUUCAAAGUCAUUCCAAGAGAUUUAAUUGAGCAAAAAUCCUGCAUGAAACCUAUUGCUUCACUGUGAACAAAAUCCCAACUGUGAUGCCAAAAAGCCAUUUGACACCAUUUGGAUCCAAGGGUUUAUUUUAUUCUUACCCAAAUAAGAAAUUGCAGCCAAAACCUCAUCUUUACUAAAACCUUCUCCAUAUCUUCCCCGAGUUGCCAUAAAUCUAGUUGAAAACCAAAGUUUUAGUCCCAAGAUGGCAAAUCCUCAAAUAAAAAAAUGCUACUAGAAGAAACUAGAGAUUCCCUUCCUCACACCAUACUGACUAUUUUAAAAAUAAACCUCAAUUUGAAAUGAAAUGAUCAAAUUCCAAACAACAAAAAUCUUCAAUUUAGCCAAAAAUAACAAUUGGAGAUCAUUCUAAAGUAAUGGCCCAUAAACAUUAGAGACAACAACCCCAUGAGUGGUGGAAAUGAGAGUAUGGAAAAAUUUCCUUCACAUGCAGAGUAGAACAUCAUCCUUCAUGAUAAAACCACCUAUAAAAGGAUUUCCUCCAUGUAUAAGACCUAAAGGGACUACAAUUUUCAGAUGCUCCAACAAGCAAAGGAAAACUCUAUAGUGACUAUAGAAUGGUUUCCAUAAUUUUUUUAUCCCGUCUAUUUUAAGGUCCCAAAUUAGUUUCCAGGUUUUAUCAGACUACCUUUUAGCCAAAGUGAAGUUCAUAUUGUAUGAUGAGACUUUGGAUCUAGCAUUGAGACAACCUAUGUUCUCUAAAACUGAAGAUGCAGUUUCACAUCAAACAAUAGGGUGACCACCCCUGCUAGAUCAGAUAGAAAUCUGUGAUUGGUAAAAUGAAUAUCACAAAACGAGUACAAUGACCAAGGUUUUGAAGCCCAACUUUUGUCAACCACAUAAGUAGAAAAAACAAGAAUAAAUUGAUUGCCUCAAGAUGAAAUUUACUAUAUAAUCUCUAUCCCAACUAUUCAAAUUCAGAAACACCAUUCAUUCCAUCCUGUUAAAAUCCAGUCCUGGUUUGAAAACGUGAUAUCUUCUAAAGUUUUUUACUAUCCAUGUCAUUGAUGACCUCCCUCCCCAUUUUUUUACUUCCAAUAUUUCUCUCAUUUUCCCAUGGGGCACUAUUGUAGUUCUUCUUCCACAUGCUAGAAUACUCAGAACCAUCUCAUUAAUCAGGACUUCAUAUAACAUGCAUGAUUCAUCAAUGCUAGCUUAUCAAAGUUUAUCUUUGCAAUCAUACCAUGUCAUCUCAGUUUCCAUGUCAACUUGUCUCUGCUCCAAAUUCGGUAGAUCCCAAAAAUAGAAGUAUGGAAAUGCACUAGCAACUAAUGUGCUAUAAGUGAUUAAGGUAACGGAAUUUGAAUUUGACCCCUCCACGAAGGAAAUUCUUAAAUAAAUUAGCAACCAAAAGACAACAUGGUCUGUUUUUGUUUGUGAAAUUUGGGUUGAGAGAUCCCUUUGUAUUUUUUUUUCUUGAUGAAAAGUGAUGAAUCUUAAAAAUGAGAUAUACAGAUAGAGAGAGUCAAGAAAGCAAUGGAUUGAAAUAAAAAAAUUUAUGCAGUCUUUUCAUAUGAGCAACAUAUUGUGUUAUGGCUUUAUACUCAAGAAUUCAAGAGAGAAAAUAAGUCGAAUACAAUGGUGACAAAUCAAUCAACUCCAAAGAAUUUGUUUUGUUCAUUUUACAAAUAAGAAAGCCUUUAGCUAUGGUACAAAUUUCUAUUUGUUUUCAAUAGUUUGCCAUGAAUUAGGGGAUCUCCAAACUGUUUGAAAUCAAAUGGUACUAUAUUGUUGACUUUUUAUUUUUGUUUUCUACCAUGAUCUUCAUUAGUAAUGUCAUGAUCUCCAUUAUUUUUUUUUAAGUGAAUCAUAGGCUUUAUCACAUCCCCUCAAGCUAGGUACAAGAACAUAAUGAAUUCCCAACUUGACCUCAUGAAACUCCUUGAAGGAUUGCUUGGGAAGUUGUUUAAUUAAGAUAUUUACAAUCUACAAUGAAGAGGGAACAUAUUUGGUAACUAGAUUGCCAAGAGUAGCUUUUUCUUGAAGGAAAAUGGUAAUAUGUUUGGUGUGAGCAUGAAAAAUAAUUUUUUAUUUAUUUAUAUUUUUUCAUGUAAAGUGCACUAAUCCAUGUUAUUCACACGUAGUGAAAGCAAGUGUAUGAUAUCUUGCUUUGACACUAGAUUAGGCACCAUUGGGUUGUUUGUUGGAAACUAAGGUUUUGUUUGGUAACAGUUCAAAAACAAUUCUAAAAAAUAGUUAUUGAAAAUAGUUUUUGAAAACUAUUUUCUAAUGUUUUGUAAAACAAAUAUCUAUUUGAGAAUCUAAAAUGUUUUAAACUUAUUUUUUAUAUUUUUACUUAUGUUUGAAAAAUAAUUUUUAUAUUUAAUGUUUUAUUUCAAAUCAUUUUUUAUAUUUGUAUAAUUAUUUUUUAAAACAAGCCUUACAAAAUAAGUGAAAAUAACUAAAAAAAAUUCUUUGAAAACAUCAUGUUUUCUGAUUUUAAGAACAAAAAAAAUUGUUUUCUGUUUUUUCGUGUCAAACAUAUUAUCUUGUUUUUUUUUUCCUAGAAAAUAUAAAACUGUGUAUUUGAUAUUUUAUUAAUAUAUUUUUCUGUGGUGAGUUAUCUUUUAUUUGAUUUUGAGAUUUAAAAUUUUUUUUUUGACUUUUAGGUUUAAUCAAAUAUCAAGUGAUUUAUGAAUAAAAACAUAAUUAUUUAAAUUAUAUAUUAUUUAACAAUUGAUAACAUUUAAUUUUAUUUUAAUAUAUGAUAUUUUAUCUUUUUUUUUUUAUUGGUGGAUCAUCUGAGAAGGGCCAUCCUGUUGGCAUCAAUUUUAUUAAAAUUAAAAUUAAUAUUCAAUAGAUUUAUAAAUUAAAAUUAAAAUUAAUAGUAAUUUAUAAAUGAUUUUUUCCUAUAUUUAAAAUUAAUAUUAAAUAGAUUUAAAAAAAUGUUUAUUUAUUUUCAUUUUUAAUAUUCAAAUAAUGUUUAUAUAUAUAUAUAUAAACGAUUUUUUUUCUAUAAUUGUGUAUUUGAUAUUUUAUUAAUAUAUUUUUCUGUGGUGAGUUACUCUUAUUUGAUUUUGAGAUUAAAUUUUUUUCGACUUUUAGGUUUAAUAAAAUAUCAAGUGAUUUAUGAAUAACAACAUAAUUAUUUAAAUUACAUGUUUUUUUAAUAGUUGAUAACAUUUAAUUUUAUUUUAAUAUAUGAUAUUUUAUCCAAAAAAAAAAUUAUUGGUGGAUUAUUUUUUAUUUAAUUUUGAGAUUAUUGUAAUUGUUUAACUAAACAUUUAUUGAUUUAUAACCCAUUAUCUAAAUUUUAAAUUAAAAUUUUAUCAAACAUUUAUUUAUGAUUAUAUUUGUAUCAUAGAUAACUAUUUAAAUAAAUUAUGAAGUGAUUUAUAUUUUUCUCCCUAAUGUGUAAGAAAGUGUUUUAUUAUAUAAUUGUGUAUUCACAUGUUAAAAGAUUAUAUGCAAUUUCUCUUGAACAUUCUUGUAUGUGUGUUUUUGUAAUUAUUUUAAUAAACAAGUAUGUUAAGUUCAAAAUAGAAAGACUUGCUAUUAUUUUCAUUGAUUAUUAAACUAUUUGAUAUUGUAUUUUUUGUAGGUAAAUCAUGUCUAAAUCUAUUAUUCCUAUGAUUUGCUUUUGUAAAGGAAAAAUGUUGAGGACAGAAACAGAUGAAAAGUAUAUUGGGGAUCAAGCUGUAAUUGUGCCUUUGGAUGUGUCUGUUAGUUCAACCUAUGAACACUUGUUAUGUAUGAUAUACUCGAGAACUAGCAUUGACAAAAAACAAUUUCAAUUAGUCCUCAACUGUAGGUAUCCUUUAAAAAGGGAAAAUAGGUUCCAACCUUAUCCAAUAUGGGAUGAUAAUAGUUUAUCUCAAAUGUUGAAAUUGGUUAACACAUUUGGAAUGGACAAAAUUGAAUUGUAUAUUGAACAAGUGCCAGUACAACCACAAGUGAGGGGCCAAUUAUUGGGUAACUUCACACAUUUAUUACUCGGAGAAAAUGAUAAUGUUGAGGAAUUUGAGUAUGGUUGUGGACCUAGUAGUGCCCCAGUUGCAAUGACUUAUGAGUGUAGAGCAGAUGAAGAUGAAGAAAAAGGUGAAUCCUAAGAAGGUGAUGAUCAAAGUGAGAGAGUAGAAGAUGUUCAACAUGAUGGCAAUGGGGUGUUUGAAUUUAUUGAUGAGGAAAACAAUAAUGUUAAUGUUGUUUCAUCUUUCUUAGCUCUUCACAAAGCAAUGGAAAUUGAACAAGGAAUAUAUGUCUCCAUGGAUGUGGAAGGUUGUGAUAUGUCAAAUAACCUAGAUCCUGAGGACCCAAUAGAGUUUUCCCCUGUUCAGUAUCACUCGGCACCAUCAUUGUAGUUUGAAAAUGUAGAAAACAUUUGUAAUGCCAUUUCAAGUGACUGGACCCCAUAGGGGAACACUAAUAUUGGAAACUCAGGUGGAGAGUUCAUGGUUGGUCAAGUUUUUAAUUCAAAAGCAGAUUUACAAUAUGCUGCGAAGUUGUACUCUAUUAGUGCACACCAAGAGUACAUUGUUGUUUUGUCAACUACAAAGUUGUUAGUCUUAAGAUACAAGAAGGCUAAGCAAUCUCAAUGUCCAUGGAGACUGUGUUAUGGUUGUAAAAGGUACAACUUCAUUUGCAAUCAAUAAAUACAAUGGUCCGCACAAAUGCGUAAACCCUUGCUUGAAUUGGGACCAUCAACAAUUAGAUUCCAACUUGAUUGUUGCUCAUAUCCAAGGAAUGAUUAAGACACAAUUAACAUUGUCAGUGGUUUCUAUUCAAGCAAGUAUUGUGGAGAAAUUCGAAUACCAAAUAUCAUACAAGAAGGCAUCUAAAGCGAAGCUUAAAGCUCUUACAAACUUAUUUGGUGAUUUUUAUAAGGCAUAUGCAGAGCUGCCAUAUUUUUUCAUUGCCUUAAAGUAGGCAAAUCUAGGAUGUGUUGUAAUUUCAAAAACAUUUCCUGGUAUUAUGGAGAAUACAAAGAUAUUUCAGUGAGUUUUUUGGACAUUUCAUCCAUCUAUUGAAGGAUUCAAGCAUUGUUGGCCUGUACUCAAUAUUGAUGGUACACAUUUGUAUGGGAAGUAUAAAGGCACUUUAAUGAUUGUUAUGGGUUGUGAUGGAAAUAAUCAGUUAUUCCCAUUAACUUUUGCCCUAACAGAUGGUGAGAAUAUUGAUAGUUGGGGAUGGUUUUUGGCAUGUAUUAGAACUAGAGUAAAUCAUAGGAGGGGACUUUGUGUUAUAUCAGAUCAACAUCCAAGCAUUAUAGAUAUAAUGAGCGAUGUUCAUCUUAGUUGGUUUGAUCCAUACGCAGAUCAUAGGGUUUGUAUGCGUCAUCUUGCCAACAAUUUUAUGACUAGAUUCAAAGAUAAAAUAUUGAAAAUCUGAUGUGCAAAGCAGCCUUAGCAACCAAGAUUGAAAAAUUCAAUAAACAUAUAAACACAAUUGAGAGGAUUAAUGCAGCUGCACAACAAUGGUUGGAAGCAAUCCUUUUGAGAAAUGGGCGCUCUCUCAUGAUUGAGGUCGAAGGUAUGGCAUCAUGACUACAAACAUGUCGGAGAUGUUCAAUGGUGUGCUUAAAGGGGCUCGUAGCUUACCCGUAACUUCUUUGGUUCAAUUGACAUUUUUUCGGCUAAAUAGUUACUUUGUUGUGAGAAAGGAAUAAGGUGUUAAUCAACUUGCUUCAAAUGAGGAAUACACUCCAUAUGUCAAUGCUAAGGUUAAGGCAAAUGUGGUUAAGGCGGGAUCUCAUGAGAUUGUUUUAUAUGAUCACAUCCAAGGACGAUUCCGUGUGAAGACUAAUAGGGGUACUAAGAGUAGCUUAAAUAGUGGUCGAACAUAUCACGUCAAUUUACAAGAGUAUGCAUGCAUGUGUAGUAAAAACUCAUAUAUGGAUUCCCAUGUAGCCAUAUUCUAGCAGCAUGUCAUUUUCGUUCAGUUGAUUUUAGACCACUUGUUCAACAUUACUAUAGUACACAAUCGUGCUAUAAUACUUGGGCACCCUUGUUUCAUCCCAUUUUCAAUGUAUAUGAGUGGCUUCCUUAUGAUUGUCCAAUCAUCAUGCCUUCUGAUUCGAUGAACCGUGCAUCAAGUGGACGACCUAAAUCAAGUCGUUUGCAUAAUGAAAUGGAUGUUAGAGAUGACAAGACUUCUAUUACAUGUGGGUUAUGCAAAUAAAGUGGCUACAAUCGUCGUUCUUAUCAAAAUAGUAAUAGAGUUGAUUAGACCAUGUGAUGUAUGCAUGUAAUUUUCUUGGAUAUUGUGAUGUAAACUACUAUGAUACUACCUUUAUGCAAUUAUUGGCUUUGGUUUGAUUAUAAAUAUUGAUGUUAUUUGCAUAAUUAGGUUAUUUGUAUUUGGAAUAAUGUCCAUACUAUAGGGGAAACUCUAUCAAAAAUUUGAAAUUUUCUAUUAAAAGCUCCAUUGUAUUUGUAUCUCUAAUUUUAAUUUAGACUAGUAUGACUUGUUUAUUGGUCAUAAAUGAAUUGAUCUACUUAAAUUUAUCAAAUUGAUAUAUACUUAAUAUAGGAAAAACUCCAUAAAAUUUUAAAACUUUUCCAUUAGAAAUAUUUUUUGUUUACAAACAAUAAGUAUUGUUUAUUUAUCUUCACAAUUUUGUUACAAAUAUGGAGAAUAGAGGACAUAGUUCUGAUCCAAAUCCAUUAGAUACGUUUGUUUUGGUUCUACAGGAUAGACAUAGGUCUCAUUUAGUUGAUUCUGACCAGGUAUGUAUAUGAAAGCACAUAAUAUCUCUUUAAAGAAUGAAAAAAUUUGCAGUUUAUUAUCUAAAUGAUUUAUUUGUAUUUUUAUAGCUUGCUUCAGUCUUGACUUGUCGACAACAUAUAUUUAGGUUUAUGCGGGAGUGGGAGAUGGAUCCUCGUCUUCGACCUUAUAUUAUUCAAUCUGGAUUUUAUGGCGUAUACCGUAUUGGACACAUUACACUAGAUUGGGGAUUGAUCACUAGUCUAGUUGAGAAAUGGCGUCUUGAGACACACAUUUCACUUACCUGUUGGGGAGAUGACCAUUACUUUACAGGAUGUUGUUGUCAUAUUAGGACUUCGUAUUCAUGGGUUUCCCAUCAUUGGCACAUGUGACAUAGAUUGGUCAUUGCUAUGUUAUGAACUUUUAGGGGUGACUCCCCCUACAUCUGAGAUUAAAGGAUUAGCAAUAUCGACACGAUGGCUAUGUCACUAAUUCUCUCAUCCACCUGUUGAUUCAAAUGAUGCCAAAUUAGAGCGGUAUGCACGAGCUUUCAUAUUAGGACUCAUAGGUUCAAUGCUAUUUACAAACAAGAAGGGUACCCACAUCCAUAUGUGUUAUCUCCCACUACUUAGAGACUUGACUCAGACAUUUAUGUAUAGUUAGGGCAAUGCAAUAUUAGCACACCUAUAUAAGGAGUUGUGUUGAGCGAGUUUUGCUGGUGCCAUCGAUAUUGUUGAAUGUGUCACACUAUUACAGGUAUAAUUAAUUAUUCACAUUAGAUUACAAUUUCUAGUUGCUUCAAGUUUAUAAUUUAAGUAAAAUUUUAAUGUUACAUUUUUUCCAGUUGUGGUCUUGGGAGAGACUUCACUAGUUUGACCAGAUUUUGGUCCACCACUAGCCCCUCCAGCAGCCCAGCAUUUAGAGCAUGAUGCAACCGAUGAUUUACCAGCUGAGCAUUUAGACCAGGGAUUAUAGGAUGAGGCAUUGUUAGAUGAGGGUUUACCAACCGAUCCGUUAGGAUGUAGGUGAAGAGUACCUUUAUCAUGGGCUUAAAACCCAUCACAUGUGUUGACAUUUUAUCGAGACCAAUUAGAUGCACAGACCCAUGACCAGGUACAUAUAAAAUGUAAUGUGCUAUUGUUAACCAUAUAAACGUUAACAUUAUUGAUGUCAAAUAUUGAUUUUAACAGGUUUUAUGGGAGCCUUACAUGGGAGACUUAGUUGCCUAUCUUUCGGCGAUAUCUCUAGCAGACCAGGAGAUUUGGUGGAUGAUGUCACCUCUUAUCUGCUUUGACAUUGUCAAGUGGCAUCAACCAAAACGAGUAUUGCGACAGUUUGGCCUCCAACAAGGGAUACCUCCAUCUUCUUCCAUAUAUCAAAACCUUUAUUCUAUGGAUAGGCGAGGACGACAUAAGUAUGAUUGGGGGGCAUUCCAUGCACAAUAUAUUACCUUAUGGGCUAGUUGUGCAGAGCGUAUUGCGAUAGCACCACCUAUGAUGGGUGCUAUGUAGUUUCAUGAUCCAUAUAUGAAGUGGUACCAACAUAUUACAUGACGUUUGAUCACACCCCCUCUCCAUAGAGAUCAGAUAAGGUAUCAUAGUAUAGCAACAACUACUCAGUUGCUGGUAAGAUUUUUUAAUUUAUAAAUGGUUUAUUAAAUUAUAAUUAAUUAAAAAUCAUUUUUGUUUGUUUAACUUUUUUUAUUUUUUUUAUUUUAGAUCACUGGUAUGGUUGAGAUUGCUAGUCGAUCUGUUGGGCCUACUUCAGGUGCAUUAGGCGACAUUUAUCGGAUUGCUAUUGAUAUUUUGCAUGUUAUUGGAGAGGAGCAUCGCAUACAUUUAGUCCUUCAGUCGCCUACAUCAUCAUACCCAUCCAUGAGACCACCUGUGUCAGCCACUACAGUUAGGAUGCAACCUAUUUGAGGCCGAGGGAAAGGUAGUAGACAAGAUGGUGGGCAAGCUGGUCAACAACUUCGAUGAUAUAUGCAUCCACCCGAGACCAUGUUAGCACCAUCCACAUCAUCUACCCCAUUUGCACCUGAGGCUUCCACACUUUCCCCUUCACCCCUACCAUCAUCUUCACCUAGACCUUCUCCCUUAGAGCAUGUCAUAUUAGAUACCACUCUACCAUUACCUGUAUUUCCUCCCAUAGAGGCCACUAUACUUGAUGUCACUACACCAGAGACUACCCCACUAUUUACUAAUCUACCAUCACCUCUACCUUCUCUUGAGGGGACCACUACACCACAUGUCACCUCACCAUCAUCACUUAUAUCUCCUCUCCUCGAGCCCACUAUGUCAGAUGUUAUUGCACCGGCUACCACUACAACAGAUGUCAUUCUUCCAUCUCCUAUAUCAUCUCUCCUAAAUGCUACCAUAUCAGAUAUCACUGUACCUGAGAUUGCCUCACCAUUUAUCACCUUGCCAUCACAUACACCUCUUCCCAUAGAGGCUACCAUGCAUCAUACCCUUACACAUGUUACACAGUUAGAUGUAUGUCCACCUAGGAGACGUCGUGGUCCAUGUAGACGUCGAGUCUUGCCUCCAUCAGCUCCAUCUCAACUUAUACAUACUGAGACAUGGUAGAUUGCAUAGAUAGAUUCCACAAAGAUGUCUCUAUAUCAUAGGCGUCUACGGAGAAAGAGGAAGACCCCAUCAUGUGGCACUCAUUGAGGACUGUUUUUUAGUUUUUGUGUUUAUUUUUAUUUGCAUUAUAUUGUUAACUUUUUUUUUUAUUAUGAACAAAUUAUUAUAUAUUUAAAUGAAAAUAUGAUAAAUUUUAAACUUAAAUUGAACUUAUAUAUAUACCACUUACAUAUAGCAAUCUGACAAUCUAAAAAAUUGGUUAUAGGUUUAAAUUUAAACUAAUUAUAUUUAUAACUAAUUAGUCACAACAACACUAUAUUGAUAUAGAAAAAAUAAUGCAUUAAAAAAAAUUUACAAUCUAAACCUCCAAUCAAAAUAAUUCUUAAAAAAUUGAACAUUCACAUGAUUUAAAAUUUGAACUUAAAAAAUUGGUUUUAGGUUUAAAUUUAAAGUUAUGAUCAUCAACUACUAUUUUGACUAUUUUUUAAAAAAAUUCAAAAACCGUGAUCACCAAUUAUAGUUUUGUGAUGUGAAUACCCACAUGAAUAAGACACACAUCGCAUUGAAAAUUAUUUUGAGAAUAAAAUUAAUUUAUGAAUUUUUUGUUUUAAAGAAAUCAUUUUUGCCCAAAACUCCCGUUAGUAUCCAAUAAGGAACAUUUUUCUUAUUCUCAAUGAAUUUACAAAAAUAUUUCAAAAGCAUUUUCAUCUAUUUACCAAAACAGUUAAACUAAAUAGUGAAUUGAUUGGAAAAAUAAAGGUAUUUUCUUUCUACAAUUCUAUAUUUUAUGAAGUGGAAAAACAAAUUCUAUUAGGUUGACAUUUUAAGUUUAAAAUUUUAAGCCUUUCUAUUCCAUUUUGAUCCCAUUUUGAAAGGAAAAAAAAAUGGAAAAAAAAUUAUUUUUGUUGUAUUUAAGUAAUUUUCCAAUUAUUUACCACUUGAAGUCAUAUUAUAUUUUGUACAAAUGCAUAAUUGGCUUUAAUUUUUGCACAAAGUUACAAAAUAAUAUAAUAUUCUUCAUUAUGAGGGUAUAAAAUAAAAUAGUAUUGUAGACCCCCAUUUUGGGGGAGACAUCUCUACAACCCGAUUAUGACAAGUGUCAUCGUCUGGGAUGACCACGUGUCACUCCAGGACUGGUUGAUAAGGUAUCAAGCUAAUGGCUUUGUUAGCCAAUGAAAACUUCACACAUGGAAAUUAGACUCACAAGGGCAAGCUAUCGCACCUGCCAUCAUCACUCCACCUGGACUCACCCCCACAUGCUUCCAGUUGCAUGGCCACCUUUUGGCAUGCAACAUUUGGAUCCUAUGGUCCUCCUUUUUUUUUUUUUUUUAUUCUUUAAUUUUGAAAAUAAUUUUCCCUAAUCCCGUUCCUCAAAUAAUUUUGUCCAGAGUUCAGUUUUUCUUUAAAAAUAAUUUCAAUUCUUCCACUUUUCAUCCUUAUAAUGUUUAGGUUCCAAAAAUCCGUUCUUCAAUAAAAAUUGGUUGCCACUUUCUUUCUGGCAAGCCAUUUUCACACCUCUUCUAUUUUUAAAAAUGUUUUGAAAUAAGCAAAGAUUAAGUUCCGUAAUUCCGACUAAUGGAAUUUAUGGAAUUAAUUCAUGUUAAAAUAAACAGGGCUUUGGUGGGGGCCCUACAUAAAUAACUGUAAAAUUGAUGGAUUGAUUGAUUGGUUGAUUUAUUUGCCAUGCAUGAUUAAUUUACUCUAUUCUUUGAUAUGCGCUUAAUUCUAUCCGUUCAUUGUUCACUAACCAUGUUUCAUGAUAGCGCAUUCGCGAUUGUCGCCCAGGUACGCAUCUAUUCAUAUUUUGCUCAUUCUUUAUACAUGUUUUGCUUCUCAUAUUGUGCAUGAUCGAUUUGAGUAUUCAUCAAUUUUCUUGAUGACUGUCACGUCAGCUUCAUUCUAUUAGUAGAGACCCAACUCUAGGGACUUAGAGGGGUGCUACGGUCCACGCCGUACCUUCCCGAUAAGUAACCUGACCCCCGAGCCCGAUCCGGUUUUUCGUAGAUCGCCUUUUCUAAAAUAAGGAGUCACACUUAGGGUUUUUCUUUCUUAUUUUGUUUACCCUUUAAAAAUAAAACAAAAAUAAGUGGCGACUCCAAGUCUUUUUUCUUAAUCAAUAAAAAUCAUUUUUCAAAUAAAAAUCGAGCUCGCCAUCGAGUGGGAAACGCAUGAGCCGAAAUGCGGGGUCCACAAGUAUAUUUAUAACUAAUUAUAUUUAUAUUGAGAAUAGUGCUAAAUAUUUUAAUAAAAUUAAACAAAAAUAUUUUUAUAUCAAAUUAAAGAUAUCAAUUAUUUAAUUUCAUAUAUUACUAUUCUUUAAAUAAUGAGAUCAAUUAAAGUUAAAUAUUUUUAUUAAACCACUCACAUAUUUUUAGUCAAUAUAAAAUCAAAAUAAUAUAAUAUUUUUAUUUAAAAAAAUUAAAGUUAAAUAUUUUAAAUAUAUAUAUAUAUAUAUAUAAUUAAAGUUAAAGUCAUAGUCGGUGACUACGACUUUGACUACUUUUAAAAACAGUCAAAGCCAUAGUCACCAACUACGGUUUUGACUGUUUUUUAAAAAUAAAACCGUAGUUACCAACUACGGUUUUAUAAUGUGGCAAUCUACAUGACACAAACGCAUUAGAUUGGACAUUAUUUUGGAAAUCGGUUUACUUUAUGAAAUUUUUUUUAAAUGUUGCAUUUUGGGUCAAAGCUCUUAAAUGCAUCUAAGUCUCGGGAAAUCAGAUCACCUUUUCAAGGAGAAGCAGGCCAAUUGACAUGCAGUAAGAACCAACAAUUUCGAUUCAUUGCAAUCGCCCAUACCAAUAACAGUCACCUAAGCCCUGAGCCCCACUUGUAGAUGCUCGCGUGGCCACCUUGCAAUACUUGGAGUCAUUGUGCGCACCUCAUCGGGAGUUGGCAAAGUGAUGUAGCUCUCUUGCUAAUCUGUACCAGAAGAAGCUUUGGCAUCAGCUUACCCUUAAGCCCAAAAGGUUCAUCACCUUGGGAGUCUUUCUGUUUCUAGGCAUGAUAUAGAGAAAGAAGCUGCAUUGGACCUACUUCCCAGCCACGUUGCUAGUUCCACCCAUCCACCACCAUCCUACCUACACGCAUGUGACCCAUGUAUGCAUGGCCACCCAAAACCUUUCUAAAGCCUCCAUCAAAGUCUCAAAUUUUCACUACACUCACCACCAUCAUAUUACCCAUAUCUCUAUCCUUCAUACCCACCAAAACCCAUCACCUUGAUCACCCUUUGAACAUCACCCAGUUUCGGUCCUUCAGUUCCAACUAAUCUAGACCACUUUUCAAUUGCUAUUGCACCAGCCUAUGUGCAUUAAAACGAACAUGCAUAGCUUCAUUCUCGUGUGUGGCAGUUAUCAACUUGGAGGAAAUGCACAACCAACUCAUUCAACAAGCUCCAUCUUUUUCCACUCAGCAUGGAUCUUCGAACACCACCCAGUUUCGGUCCCCUGAAAUUACCAAUUUUCAUCACCCACUCCUAUGUGCAUGUCCACCCUCAUGUCCCCAUCCUUCAUACCCACCACUAACAAUUGGUCCCAUAUAAACCCACAAUUUCUCCAUCCUUCAUACCCAUAAAACUUAACACUACACCUAACAUCACUUGCCUUUCAAGUAUCUGGCACGAGAUAGUGAUGAUUUUUUGGGUAUGCCCAAAAUAGGCAGUCAAAGGAAGAUUUGGAAUUAUUUGAGGAGCCCUCCUUAACCCAUGCAAGAUUCAUGGCAAUGAGAAAUGGGUCAAAGAGUUAGAAGUCUUCUUCGCAAGCUGCUGCAAAUCAAGACUCACUAGUAUUUGAAGGACCAAAGUCGACACGGACGCUUGGUAUUUAUGCUCAGGAGCUGAAAAUCCAGCCAUGGAAAUCAUUGAAAACUUAUUAUCUUCCACAUCACUUGUACAAAACACAGGGAAUGAUGCAACUUCUACCAACGACAAUGGUGUUGGAUUUCGCUUAUUAGCCUGUUUCCAUGCCACUAUUGAGAUAUUCAGGUUUUAGUUGCUACUGUGCACGGUUUCAUCAUCAACCGCUGCACCUGCGAGCCUUUUCCAUUCUUUACCUUAGUGGCAACUUUCCCAUUACCUAUGGGGCAUUUGAUGGCUUCGAGAGGUGUGACAAGGAAAGUAAGUGGGGUUCCGAUGAAGAAGAUGAUUGUACCGAGAUUGAAGGGGUCACAUCUGGAGAUCCAAGAAGCCCCAACUCUACCAGUUUCGGGCAUGACACUUUUUGCUCAUGUUUCCAAUUCAACUUAUUCGAUUGACUCUAGUGAUCAUUCAAUUUGGGAGCUACAUUGCUUGACGGGUCAAUCGUCGAGUCGUCACCUCAGAUCUUGGCACCAUGAGCUUGAAAAUGGCCUCACGUGCAUGAAGUUUCUGCAUGUACAACUUUCGGUGCACCACUCGAGAACACGUAGCCUUUUUUAAUCCGGUGGUAUUCUUGUUUAUAACAGUGAAAUAUUUGGAAGAAUUCAUGUUGGCAACAGCUAUAGAUGCUCGAAAUUCAAUCUGGACACAACUAUAUUACUCAUGAACCUAUCGCUAAGGAAGCCAUGAUGGAAUACAUGAAAAUGGUUCCUCAACAACAUAGGCCACUGUAUGGGAGAUAGGUGGGUGUGCUGAAACCAAUCGAGAUUUAGAAAUCCCAACCAACUAAAUAUGGUCCCAUUAGCUUCUUUCCAUCUUUCCCACUUGCAAGCACAUAAUGUGACGAAGUUGAGUGAAGGAACAUGCCUUGAUGAGCUGAUUCAGCUUACCAACUAAUGAUUAAUGAUGGAGUGAUGCUUUUAUGAGGUUCUUUGGUUAUACAAUCAUGCAGAGUUGAAGAAUGAAUUGAUGAUAAUAUAUAUUAAAUUCGUUGAGUCGAGUUAUGCUGAAUUCUUGUUUGGGAAGCAUCCUUGUUGUUCAAAUGAACUGAACACCUCUCUGAGAAGUGGUUGUGUAGCAUGCUAAGCUGGUCGCCCGAGUUGAAAGAGGUUGUUGUGAAACUGAGCAAGUUGUUGUGUUUAAGCAAAGAGAGAUACUCUCUGUGGACCACGUCAUCAUGAAUCAAAAUUGCUUGUUGUCAACAACAUCACCCUUUUAGAGUUUGGUGUCUUGGGAUUUGAAUUGGGUUUCAAUGGCAUGUCCAAAUGUUUUGGUAAUGUGGCUACUGAGAUGAUGUACAUGACUUCAAAAGUUGACUACAAUGAUUGAUGAGCAAGAUGCAUUAGAGCUUGUUUUUCCAACUCUACCACCUAUACCUAAGCACAUGACACUACUAUCACAUGGCUUGCGUGGCCACCUUUGGCAUGCAAUUUAUUUUUCCCCAUAGGCCACAUAUUUCUAUCCUCUUAAUUCUUCAUGCCUUCAAAAAUCGAUAUUCCAAAAAAGUAAUUUAUUUAUUUAUUUUAUUAUUAUUAUUAUUAUUAUUAUUUUAUCAUUUCAAGACCGUAAUUUUUCAUUCUUCAUAGAGUUUUAGGUCACCAAAAAUCCAAUUUUAAUAAACAUUUUGCUACCAUUUUCUAUAUGGCAUGCACUUUCACAAAUUUUAUUUGAUUUUAAAAUAAUUUUCAAUUUUUUUUUACAUUUUUAAGCAUGAAUAAAAUUAUGUAAUUCCAAAGAUAAUGGGAUUUAUCGGAUUCAUUCAUACAAAAUCAAUUGGGCUUUGGUGAGGCCUGACAUAUGAGAUUCUCUCGUUGGUUGAUUGAUUGUUAUGUUUGAUUGAUUUUGCCUACUCCUUGACAUGCAUGUGAUUAUUUUAUAUUUGAGCUAAUCUUGUUUUUAUGAUAGCACUCAACUUGCAACUAAGGUACUAUCCUCAAAUUUUUCUUGCUUAUUCAUUUUUUAUUUUCAGGAUUCUCAUUUAUUGGUAUUCAAUGAUUAAUUGAUCAAUUGCCAUAUUCGCCUCACCUUGAUUAAUAGAGACCUCAUUAUAGGGUUUAAGGGGUGUUAUGGUCUUUCACCGUAUCUUCCCAAUAGGUAACUUGACCCUCGAACCUAAACUCAGUUUCUCACAAACUUGUUUUCCUUCAAGAGUCACACUUAAAGGUUUUUUCUUUCUUAUUUUAUUUUUUCUCUUUAAAAAUAAAAUAAAAAUAAGUAGUGACUCUAAGUCUAUUCUAAAAAUCAUAAUUUUCACCAAAUAAAUUAAAAGUGAGUCUCGUGUGGGAACGCACAUGAAAAAUACGGGUCCACACUUAUUUUUGGUCAAAACUCAUCUCCAUGUCUCACCAACUACCUAAUUGCUCCACAUCACCUCUGAAUUUUCCAACUCGCCCAACAUGCCACUAGUUCACACUUUUUUUUUACCUGAAUGGUCUUUAUGCUUUUCCCUAUGAAUACCUCAUCUUGCAAAACUCCUUUUUCUUCUAGAAUUCUCGUCCCAGCUUCUUCUAAUUCUUUUACUCAUGUGACCUCACAAAGAAAAUCUAUGUUAAGGCAAAUCAUACACUAACAAAAAUUAAAAUUCAUUUCAUGCAAAAAGUAAAUACUUAAUGCAUGUGAUUCAAAGUUAAAAAUAAAUUUUAUGUAACCAAAAAUUUAAAAUCAAAAUCAUGUAGUUAGCAAUUGAAAAAAUCGAUCAAACAAAAAUAAUCAAAUAUCACAAUUUCCAUUUCAUGCACACAAAAAUCAAAUUAUCUAUCACACAUCAAAAAAAUGAUCCACACACAAACAAAGAUCAAAAUCGAUCCAAACGCAUUCAAUAUGAAAACCAUGUCCUAGAAAAAUCAGUCAAAUUUUAAUACACUAAAAGAAACUCAAUUAAUUAAACAAAAUCCUUAAAAAAAUAAGAGGUCACUCAAAAAUCACAAUAAAGAUCCUUAAAGAGUCUCACUCAAAAUAUCUCCAAAGAUAGUGACUAAGAGAGUCACGAUGGACUACCAACGAGAACUCAAAAAGGGCUAAAAAAAGGACUAUUAGGAAUUUGAGGCUAAUCCAAACUAUGGUAAUCAUCCUAGAGGGGGGGGGUAAAUAGGGUGAUGGUCUCUUUUUCACAAAUUUAAACAAGUGAAAAAAUAAGAGAUAAUUAUAUGCAAAUAUAUAAUAAACAAAAUAAACACAAUUGCAUAUAAUUUAAAAGAGUUAGGGAAGAGAGAGUGCAAACACGAGAGUUUAUAGUGGUUCGACACUUCCUUACUUACGUCCACUCUUCUCAACCUCCUAACUGAGUGAGGGUUCCACUAUCUUGAAGCUUCAACCAAGCUUCCAAUCUCUUUACAAUUGGAUUAUGGUUUCAAUUCACCAUCUUGGACUUUUGGCUCCAAGUACCCUUUACACUUCUCAAGAGUUAUCCCACUUUUGAACAACCUCUCAAGUGAUACCCCUCACUUGAGAAAAUUCCUCUCAAAGAUAUACAAAUAAUGAUCUCACAAAAAUCCUAGUAAUAGAACUUUAGACUCAAAGAUACAAGAAAAACUAGGAUUGAAUGGUGCACUAAAGAUAUGCAAGUUAUGAAACAAUGGUGCACUCAAAAACACUUUUCCAAGGCUCAAAUAUAUUCAAGAAUGAUUUGGGAAGGUUAGACUUAUGAAACAAUGAAGAUUGGAGCCUUUUUAUAGAAGAAAAAAGUCAAACUAGCCGUUGGGGGUUCGACCGGUCUAGCUAGGGGUCGACCGGUUGAUUAGCAGUUAGGAAAAGUGACCGUUAGGCCUCAAUCGGACCUCAACCGGUUGAGGUUCAACCUUAACCGGGAAGAGAAGACCACUGGGAGAGAGAGAAACUUUUUGGCCUCCCUCAACCGGUCAUCGACCGAACAAGCACAACCGGUCGACUGGUUGACCCAUUUUUUUUGCUCAACACUCAACCUUUGUCAACUUAAAACUUUUUAACACAAGUUUGAAAAUCAUUUAACACAAGGUUUUAGUUGAAAACAUGAAAUAUCCAAUUCUUAAGAUAUUUAAAACAAUAUUACUCUUGAAUGAUUUUGGUGCAUAAAUAAAGAAUGAAAUGCAUGAAAGUCUUAGUGCACCAACAACCUUACAAAGAGAUCUUAAGAAACUUUGGUAUUGAAAAACUCUUCUCUUUGAGGUGGUCCUCUUCUUCAUGAUUUCUCCUUGGCUUGAUUUGUCUUUGGAUUGCCACUUUGGAAGUCGUCUUGCCUAAUCACACUUGAAAUAUGAUCAUUAGUUCUAAACCUUGUUUUAUUAUCAUCAAAAUCAAGAUUAACCAAACUUUGGUUUCACAAGGACCAUAAGUGAACAAUAUGGUAACAAAUGAUUUAGGAAGACAAUCUUGGAUGAAAUGUGCCAAGAGGACAAAAUAGAAAGUCUACACUUAUAUUUUUUUAUAAAUAUUUAAAUGCAACUUUUAAUUGUAGUGUUUUAUUUUUAAUUAUUUUUAUAUUUAUAUAAUAAUUCUUUUAAAAUAACCUUGGAAAAAAAUUACCAAACAUGUUUUUUUUUUUUUAAGAAUAAAAACUGCUUUUAAAAUAAGCUUUUCAAAGAUAUUCUUAAUUUCCUAAUUAUUUCGCCUAUGUGACUCACUUGUAAAUCCAUUCUACUUCCUAAUACUCUUGAGUUUUCCUUUUUAAUUUUAUUUUUAAAAUUUAUGAAAAUCUUUUUUAAUUGUUUCAUAGGAAAAAGAAUUUAAAUGAAUUUGAUCAUUUAUUUGGACUAAAAAUUGGAUGUAACCAUAAUGAUUUAAAUAAUUAAAUAUCUAUUUACAUAUACUUCCCAUUUUUUAUUUUUAGAAUUAUAAAUUUUUAUAUAAAAAUAAAAUAUCUUUUUCAAAAAGAAUAGAUUUAUCUUAUGAUUUUAAAAAUCUCUUUAUAGUAUACCUCAAUUUUUUUAAAAAAUAAUUUUAAAAGCUAUUACUUUUUUUUUCAAUAUAAAUCUAUAAGAAUUCUUAUAUAUUAUAUCAAAGUUAUUAUUUCAAAGAGACAAAGUUUGCGAAUUACUAACUACAUAACAUGAAAGCAGAAAAAUUCAAUCAUUUAAUAAAUGAUUCUAUACUAUCUUGUUUGGCUAAUUUAUCAUGACCACAAAAUUUAAUUUUACAUUUAUUAAUGAAAUUGGCAAACACAUUGCGGAAAAGUUGUAUUGUUAUUGGGAUGAAAUAUAUGUUAUUUGUAUCUUAUUCAAUAUAUCAUUUUUGGACUUAUUUAAUAACUAUUUUAAAAAAUAAUUUUUGAAAACUGUUAUUUCAUAUUUUAUAAAACAAAAGUCUAUUUGAAAAUAUAAAAUAUUUUAAAGUUAUUUUUAAUGUUUUUAAAUGUAUUUAAUUUUUUUUUAUCUAUAAUAUUUUAUUUUAAAAUAUUUUAGGUAUGUGUAUAAUUAUUUUUUAAAAUAAUUUUUAGAAAAUAAGUAAAAUAUAUAUAUAUAUAUAUAUAUAUAUAUAUAUAUAUAUAUAUAUAUAUAUAUAUAUAUAUAUAUAUAUAUAAAAGAAAAUAUUAUCCGGUAACAUUUCUACUCUUUAAGAAUUAAAACGUGUUUUUCUAUUUUUUUAUUAUAGGUAACCGAGAACGAAGAAAGCUACCAAACAUAGCCUUAAUUUCUUGUUUCGAACUCAUUCUCAUCGAUCAUGUUUUUCUUGUCUUUCACUGGUUCGAAUUGAUUGCAGAUGUGUGCCAUCGAUUCGUGUAUAAUAAUUAACAGGCAAUAAUCUCAGAAUUUUAUAGUUUUACACAUCCACCAAAUUGUUUUCUCGUGUCAUGAAAACUCUCAGGGUUUUACAUGAAUGUUCACGACAAACCCUCUUUUCCUCGAUCUCAAGAGCUUUAGCAUCAGCAGCAACAACUACACAGCUCCACAAACUCCACUCCCUUAUCAUCACUUUGGGUCUCCACCACUCUGUCAUCUUCUCCGCUAAGCUCAUUGCCAAGUACGCUCAUUUCAGAGACCCCACUUCUUCUUUCUCUGUUUUUCGACUUGCUUCUCCUUCAAACAAUGUUUAUUUGUGGAAUUCAAUCAUAAGGGCACUAACCCAUAAUGGGCUUUUCUCCGAAGCUCUUAGUUUAUACUCUGAAACGCAGAGAAUUAGGCUUCAGCCUGAUACUUACACUUUCCCUUCUGUCAUCAAUGCCUGUGCCGGGUUAUUGGACUUUGAGAUGGCUAAGAGCAUUCAUGAUCGUGUUUUGGAUAUGGGUUUUGGUUCGGAUUUGUAUAUUGGGAACGCUUUGAUUGACAUGUAUUGUAGGUUCAAUGAUUUGGAUAAGGCGCGUAAGGUGUUUGAAGAAAUGCCUCUUAGAGAUGUUGUUUCUUGGAAUAGUCUGAUUUCGGGGUAUAAUGCAAAUGGGUAUUGGAAUGAAGCUUUGGAAAUUUAUUAUCGUUUCAGAAAUCUUGGUGUGGUGCCAGAUUCGUACACUAUGUCCAGUGUUUUACGAGCCUGUGGAGGUUUAGGUUCUGUUGAAGAGGGUGAUAUAAUUCAUGGAUUGAUAGAAAAGAUUGGGAUAAAAAAGGAUGUAAUUGUGAACAAUGGGCUCCUUUCCAUGUACUGCAAGUUUAAUGGAUUAAUAGAUGGUAGAAGGAUUUUUGAUAAGAUGGUACUUAGAGAUGCGGUUUCUUGGAACACAAUGAUUUGUGGGUAUUCUCAAGUGGGGUUGUAUGAAGAAUCUAUCAAAUUGUUUAUGGAGAUGGUGAAUCAAUUUAAACCAGACUUGUUGACCAUCACAUCCAUCCUUCAAGCUUGUGGUCAUCUAGGGGACUUAGAAUUUGGAAAAUAUGUCCAUGACUACAUGAUCACAAGUGGGUAUGAAUGUGAUACUACAGCGAGCAAUAUUCUUAUCAAUAUGUAUGCAAAGUGUGGUAAUUUAUUGGCUUCACAGGAAGUUUUUUCUGGAAUGAAAUGCAAGGAUUCUGUGUCAUGGAACUCAAUGAUCAAUGUUUAUAUUCAAAAUGGAAGUUUUGAUGAAGCAAUGAAGUUGUUUAAGAUGAUGAAGACCGAUGUGAAACCAGAUUCAGUCACUUAUGUGAUGCUCCUAUCUAUGUCCACUCAAUUAGGAGACCUACACCUGGGGAAGGAACUUCACUGUGAUCUAGCAAAAAUGGGAUUCAAUUCAAAUAUAGUUGUGAGUAACACUCUUGUGGAUAUGUAUGCCAAAUGUGGAGAAAUGGGGGAUUCACUUAAAGUAUUUGAGAAUAUGAAAGCCCGUGAUAUAAUCACAUGGAAUACUAUUAUUGCCUCAUGUGUUCAUUCUGAGGAUUGUAAUUUAGGAUUGAGAAUGAUCAGUCGAAUGAGGACUGAAGGAGUGACACCAGAUAUGGCUACGAUGUUAAGCAUCUUGCCUGUGUGUUCUUUACUUGCUGCCAAACGACAAGGGAAAGAGAUCCAUGGCUGCAUUUUCAAAUUGGGUUUGGAGUCAGAUGUUCCAGUUGGUAAUGUAUUGAUUGAAAUGUACUCCAAAUGUGGUAGUUUAAGGAAUUCAUUUCAAGUAUUCAAGCUUAUGAAGACAAAAGAUGUGGUGACAUGGACAGCGUUGAUCUCUGCAUGUGGUAUGUAUGGUGAAGGCAAGAAAGCUGUGAGAGCUUUUGGAGAGAUGGAAGCAGCUGGUAUUGUUCCUGACCAUGUUGCCUUUGUUGCUAUCAUCUUUGCAUGUAGCCAUUCUGGUUUGGUAGAAGAAGGUCUUAAUUACUUUCACCGGAUGAAGAAAGACUAUAAAAUUGAGCCUAGGAUUGAGCACUAUGCUUGUGUAGUUGAUCUUCUAUCCCGAUCUGCUCUUUUAGAUAAAGCAGAGGAUUUCAUCCUUUCCAUGCCAUUGAAGCCAGAUUCAAGUAUAUGGGGGGCUUUACUUAGUGCUUGUCGGAUGAGUGGAGACACUGAGAUUGCAGAACGUGUCUCAGAACGGAUCAUCGAAUUGAAUCCAGAUGAUACUGGGUAUUAUGUUUUAGUCUCAAAUAUUUAUGCAGCUUUAGGGAAAUGGGAUCAAGUGCGCUCAAUACGGAAAUCGAUCAAAGCUAGAGGAUUGAAAAAAGACCCUGGAUGUAGCUGGAUGGAAAUUCAAAACAAGGUCUAUGUUUUUGGCACUGGGACCAAGUUCUUUGAACAGUUUGAAGAGGUUAAUAAGUUAUUAGGCAUGCUUGCAGGCUUGAUGGCUAAGGAAGGUUAUAUUGCCAAUUUGCAAUUUGUACUGCAUGACAUUGAUGAGGAUGAGAAGAGAGACAUACUUUGUGGGCACAGUGAAAGGCUUGCCAUAGCAUUUGGGUUGUUAAAUACUAAACCAGGUACCCCUUUGCAGGUAAUGAAAAAUCUUCGGGUUUGUGAGGAUUGCCACACUGUGACCAAGUACAUAUCAAAGAUAGUGCAAAGAGAAUUAUUAGUUAGAGAUGCCAAUCGCUUUCAUGUGUUCAAGGAUGGAGCCUGUAGUUGUGGAGAUUAUUGGUAAGGGAUAUGAUAACAUCUUUGAAUGAUUGAACAAGAUUGACAAUGGAAGAAAAAGGGAGCAUUUUUUUAUGUAUCAUAUGGAUGCCCAUAUUGGGAAAGGUCAGACUGGCUUCACAUUAUGCCAUUAUUUGAUCAUGUUCGAUGUUUUGAAUCUUUUGAUACCCAGCUUUUUUAUUACAGGAGUAUUCGGAGCAUCAAAGUACAACUUACCUCUCAAGUUCCCAUAUGACACCAUAAAGUUGUUUGAAAUAUUUUAGCUGAAAUUGGGGUCCCGAGAUAGUCAGCUGUCAAAAUCCCUUUGUCAUAACCUGAAGUUUCCAAUGGUGGCAGAAGCUCAAGUAAGAAAAUAUAUGCCCCUAAGUUUGGAAUAUGGCUGAUAUUUUAAGUUAAUUAAAGUUAUGAUUGAGAUUACAUCUUAUUGAGUCACCCCUUAACUAGUUACUCUCACACCUGGAAAUUACUUGAUGAGAAGCUAGACUAUGUAGUGUUUUCAUUUGAAUGAAUUUGAUCACAUGAAGCAAAUUCCGUAAACAAAAUUCUCAGGCUUCUGGAAUUGAGGAGUAACCUUGUCCCUUUUCAUUGUAUGUAGAAAAGGGAACUGAAAUAAAGAAAUUCUAUAAACAACUAAAACACACAACUUCCUCUAGAUGCUUUUUUUUUUAGGCUACUUUUGAUUUUUUUUUUUUCCUACAUUCAUAUUUUUUUUGUUCUUUUUGUCACGUUGUUCAUUUUCUUUUUUGUUGUAGAAUUGAGAAGUAUAAGAAACAUUGAGAUUUGGCCUAAUUGAUACUGGGGGGUUUGAUCUUAAUGGAGAAAGCAACUAAAUAAGGAAAGCAAAGUAAGUUUGCAAAUUCAUGUGCAUUUUCUUUUCAUGUGCUUUUGUUUUUCCUUUUGGAAGGAUGUUGGAUUUUUAGGUAUCUGGUAUAUGCAUUUUAACUCGUGAUUCAUCGUUUUCUGGUUCUGUUCACAUUCUUCCUUAUGCAUGUCCUUUACAUGGAGAAGUUUAAGAAAAGGUCGAGGAGUUAGUCAAGGUGGUCAGAGUUCCAUUCCCAUUUUCUGGUUCCUGAUUUCUUGGAAAUGUUUGAAAUUCUGUGUCCUUUUACAUUAUCAUAAAGGCAUUGUAUGUAGUACUUGUUGCUAGAGGUGUGUCAUCAGCAAUUACAUCAAUAAUGAUUCUUUUCUCUUUCCCCUGUUCAUUUCUUGCUUUGGAAAUUAAAAGAGCCUUUUGCCUGCAAUUCUGUACCUUAUUGCGUCAUAGACAGUAUUUUACUGGAUUGGACUUGAUUUCUGCAAAAUGCACCAUACUGUUCAUGGUGUUAAAAUCUGAUUUGAGUUAUAGGCUUGAAGUUGUCAUUUGUAAUUUGCCAGAUGUCAAACUUUUUUGUGAGCUCUUCAAUAUCAAAUAUCAAUAUGAAAACCAUUUUGUUUUUUGAAAUGCAAUUUUUGUCUCAGACUCAAAAUAGCUGAGGACAGGGCUUUCUAAUAAUGAUACUUGCAAGGAGUUCUUAAAUAGGAAAGAAAUAGAGCACAGAGCCCUCCCUUUAUGGUACUUCAAAUACAAACUUAUUUGAAAAUUCCACUUGCACACAUACACACAUUGAUAUGCAAUAUGAUAUGUAUCUGAUUCUUAUUCAUUCUACUUCAUUAAUCCUAGAGGUUCAUGGCAGGAAUCAUGAACUGGUUCAUUUAGAUGCUGCUGCUGUGCAGCUGGCAUCAAGAAGGGCAUGGCAAUUGGCAAGCAUUUGGGCUUGAGGUGGCCAGUUAUCUUUAAUUAUCUGAGCAUCUGCAAAAUCUUGUAUCCAUGCAGACAACAAUGGCAACCUCUCCUCAUGCACAAUCUUCAGGCCAGCAAUGUCCUUCAAUAUGCUGAUCAAGUUAUCAAGCCAACCUAAUGCAAGAUCAACAAAUCUGAUGGUGUCCUCCUGCCACGAAUUUUUCAGGGUCUCCAUAAGUCGAAUUUUGCCUUCCUCCUGCUAUUUCCCUUGCUUGAUGAAGACACCCUGGACUGAUGUCAAACCCUACACCAAAACAAAUUCACAUGUAGCAAACUAUAAAGCCUUUCUCAAAGCUGUUUCAAGUGAGGAAAAACUUGAAAGAACAACCUUUUUGUCACCUAAUUUGGCCCAGAAGCAUGCCCUGACUUUCUGAUAGGGGUCCUUGGGCAACAGGGGAGCUUGCUUCCUUCCCUCAUCAAUGUUUUUGAGAAUGACAAGCAAUUCAUCACCAGUUUUUCCAUUGUGUACAAGCACUGGAAUCUUUUUGUAGGCAGGAUUAUAACGGAGGGCUCUUGUUGAAGAGAUUUCCAACAAUGGUUUCGUAUUCUAUGCCUUUGAUUUUGAGAGCCCAAACAAUCCUCAGAGCAAAAGGGUUUGUCCAUGUUCUGAAAAGCUUCACCUAUUCUGCCAUAAUGUUUUGACCCAGCAAAUGAAAUAGCAGCUGAGGUGUCCCUUUCAUCCAGAUUUGUGCCAUGGAAUUUUCCAAUAUUUUACUUUAAAUAUCACAUUUUCCUCAUGUUUCCUCAGAAUAUUAUCCAUUCCCUCCCUUAGUUUGUUCUCUAACUUUGGAAUAUGGAUAAAAAGCUUUCCUUUUCCCAGGUGUGAUGAUCUGCAGAUGGAGGGUGCUGUUUGCAGUGAUUGUAGAGGGUACAGAAUGACCUGCUUGUGUGCAUGUGCUGUUCGAAGCGUUUGUAUAAAACAAUUUAUCCUCAAUGGUGGCCUCUCCUAUUUUUAUCUGGAUGGAGCCUUCUUAUUAAGAUGGGUGUUAGGGCACAGAUUUGCCUUUCUCAAAUGAAUGCACAGGUAACAAUUAUUUUGAAGGAAAAUUAUAUCAUUUUAUAACUUACAAAACAAUCAUGAAAAUUAACAAGAUAAAAUUAUAUGAUUACUCCAACCUUCUCUUUAAAUCCACCACUAAAAUACAAUCUCAAGUGGCAUGGGAGUAGUAUGUCAGCAACAAACAAAGAAGCACUCAUUGAAACUGGCUUUGGUUUUUAAAUAUUUUGUGGAAAUCUAGUCUACCCUAUUAGUCUAUCACAUACGCAAGCCGACAAAAAUACAAUUGCCAACAAACAUCUGAUAAAAAUUCAUAGUCUCUAAGGAAUCACACUGGUGGAACCUGUGGGCUUGUAACGCUUGUGCCUAUGGGACCGCAUAGUGUGAACCCAUGACUCAUAUGGAUUAACGAGAUUCCCAUUGUCCAGUCUAUUAUCUAGCAAAACCACAGCCAAGGGAAUAGGUUGGCAGAAUCAGCGUGGCAAAAAGAUCCUGUUGAACUUAACUCUAGUCCGAUUUUGUGAAAUGACUUAAGAGGUGUAGGAUAAGUGAGACCUAACCAUAAUCUCUCUAAAAAACUGGCUACAAAGGCUCACCUUCACAUAGCUAGUUAACAGGUUGAGGUCUCGUUCGUUAACAGAAUUAACCAGAUAAAUUGCUCCACCAACUAAGAAUGACCAUGCACCACCACCCAUAGAAUCAAGAGCUCUCAAUCUAUGGUUAAGGAUAAAAAUACAGGUCUUUGUUAAAAGUUGUGGUAUCAAUAAUUGACUUGAAAGGUCUUGCAUAUUGAUUUUAGUGUCUUGACUUGAUAUCAAAUUAUAUGCAAAAUAAGAUUGUUAAAAAAUUAAAAAAAUUAUUGGAAAAAUAAAUAAAAUUAAAUAAGCUUAAAAAUUUAAUAAACUUAAAAAUAUAUUAAUAUAAUAAUAUUUAAUUUAUUAUUAAAAAUAAAUUAACAUAUAAAAUAAUAUACUAUAUAUAUGAUAUUAUUACUAUAUAAAAUAAUAGCUUAAAUUGAUGCAAUUGAUACCACAAUAAUAAAUUAUUGAAUUUUCACUUUUUCUUUUAUCAAUCUCCAACCAUAUAGGAAAUAUGUCAUUUGUAAGGCAGUAAACAUUUAAAUAACUAAUUAUUUUUACAUAAAAUAAUACAUUACACCCUUUUCUUCAUAUUCCCAAUCUCAAAUACAGUAACCAUAAUACAUUCUUCAAAUUCCCAAUCCUAAACACCAGGAACCACAACAUGAAGAGAGAGAUGUUGACCAUCAACCUCAAUGAGAGAGAGAGACUGAGGGUAGUCGGUGACUCGCAGAGCACACCCACUCCAUGUUAACAUGCAGAGAUCGCUGUUAAUGGAAGGAAUUUGAUGUUUUUUCACCAGUUAAAACAAUCACCACAACGACAUCUUCAAUGCAAAGGCGCUGCACUCCAGCCUUGAUGUCUUCUUUCUUCUUCCUUUUCUUCUUCAUUAUGGGUAGAGUCAUGGGUCUAAGAAAACUUUUCUUUUGAAGAGAAUUUUUGUUUUUUUAUGAGAUUUCUCAAUUUGGAUUGCUGUUUGAUGUUCUUUUAUUGUGAUUUAAAAAGGGAAAAUUGAGUUUUGGAUUUAAUAGGAGAAAUUUUUUACAACUUGGAGGAUUCAACCAAGUCAACUUGGAAUCUCGAUCGAGUCAACUGAAUUUGAUCAAUUUUUAGCCGAGUUUGGGUUGAAGAUGGUAUCAGGUAUUGAACUGGGUAAGAAAAAGUUCCGAGGUAGAUAUGACUCGACUGAUACUUUGAACUUUGUUCUUGAUCUCAUGUUCCAUAGUUGCAUACAUGUUAAUACAAUGUGAAGUUUCUCCAUGAUUCUGUGGUGAACCCAAUGAAAUCCCUUCUCAACUGGGCUAUGCAAGUUGCUAAGCGAAAGCAAGGCAUAGAAGACAUAUAGGAGAGGUUGCACGACAUUUGGGAACAUUAGGGAUGCUAAUGAAGUUAGUGAAAGGGAAGUAGAAGACAUCAUCGCAGUGUAGAGGGUAGCAAUAGGAGUAGAAGAGAGAUAGGUGUCGAAGCUUAACUUAAUCCCGAAUGCUAAUACAAAUGCUAGUAGGCUAGUGUUGGCUCCUUGACUUAAACAUUUCAGUGCUAAGGACUUCAUAGGAAAGCACCUUGCACCCAUGAGGGCCCUAAGAAAAAGCAAGGUGGAGUCAUGGGUGUAAUAGCAUGACUCAUUGUUGCACCAAGAGAGUGCUUGGUCAUGACAUGGUGUCGUAGUAGCAAUAAGAUGAAUGCAUGAGUAGGCUGUCUUGGCAUGGACAAGACCUAGAUGUGUAAGCUAAGAGAGGGUUUAACAUGCACACAAGUUGCAUAGAGAUGCAUGCAGCAACCUGCUUAAAGAUGCAAUAACAAGCUAAUCGGAUGCAUGGGUCUAUCUAAUUACAUGAGUGGAUUGACUUGAGGCAAGAUAACAAAGAGAUGUCUUGGCAUUGGGGCAAGCCUAAUGAAGAUGUGUUGCAUCAUGAAUUAGGUACUUGAGGUGUUGAAAUGUGGAUUGAUGCCUAUGACAACAUUGGUUUUAAAUGGGCUAGGAAUGGGCCAAAGACAUUUGAAAGCUAAGAGUUGGAUUCAAAUUGUGAUUGUAAUAUGAAUUCGAGUAAUUAUAGUUUAAGUAGGUUUAGGAUUACUUACUCCUAGUCAAAUACGGAGUGAUUGGUGCCACACCUAUAAAAAGGAGGACUUGAGAGCCUCCCAAUAGAUAGCAUGAGAGAGAAAGCAUUAACUCAUCAAAGAUAUUGUGAGAGUCUUGUUGAGCUAUGUCUUGGAUUGUUAUUUAGAGAAGAAAUAAAAUACAAGCUAGGGACUUGGGCAUGUAACCUUAUGUGACUUCGUGGGUUUUUCUUUAUUGCAAUCUUGUAUGGGUUUGAGUAGGUUGACUUUAUUAGGAUAGAGCAUUUAAAAGCUUGAUAUGAUAUAAUAAAAUUUGAAAUUUAUUAUUUAUCAAUAAAGUUUCAAUUUCUCUUUUAUUUAUAUUUAUUUCAUGAAUUAUGUCUUAUGAGCAUUCUGGCUUAUUUUUUUACAUUGUAUGUGGCUUGAGUGCAUUAGACAUUAAAUGAAAGAUCCAAGUGAUGAGUUUCUUAUAAACAAAGAUGAAAAUAUGGGUAAUUACAAAUAUAUCGAUACUUCGAUUUUAUGGAUAUAUUAGACAUAUCGGAAAUAUAUCGGUAGAUAUUUUGAUAUAAAAUAUCCAUGAGCCUAAAAUUGAUCAAAACUCAUGAAAAUAUAAGAAAAAACUUUUAGAAAUAAAAUUGAAAGUAUAAUAAGAAUUUUAAAGUUGUUUUGUUGAAGAAAUUGAUAUAUCUAUUAUAUGAUUUGCAAUAUUAAAUUUAAUUGUAUCAUGUUGGUCUAUACGAAAUGUGAAUUUUGUAGGUGUACACUUGUUAUGAUGCUACAUUAAAUAUUUGAUUUCAUUAAAUAUCAAUAAUUUGUACAUAUUACAUUGUAAUGACCCUUUAGUACCAAAAUAAUGAUCGAUAUGGUUCAAUUGAAUUGGUAGAUGAAGGAAUCCUAUCAUAUUAUUAGAGACAAUAUUGGUACCAACUCAUUGAACCUCAAUAGUAUUGAUUAAAAAUUCGAACAUGGCAUGCAUGCAUACAAAAUUUACUAAUUAAUUACAAUUGAAUAUAAAAAUAAAAUUAAAUAAUUAAUUUAAAAUUAACUUAUUGUAAAUCUACUAAUUAUGUGAAUCAAAUAUAUAACUAAGCUAAGUUAAUUUACUAAAUCUAUUGAAAAUUUACUAAUUAAUUAUAUUUUAAUACAAAAAUAAUUAAAAUCUAAAACAAACAUACCUUGUAAUAAAUGAGUAACCUUGGUUUAGAAUUUGGAGUUAAUCCACAAACUUGACUUAUAAAUUCCCAAAUUUAUAAGAAUUUGAGAAUAAUAACAAAAAAAUUAUGAGCAAUAAGAGAUCAAUUGAAGUAUGAAAUGAAAUGUGGAUGAAAUGGAUGAAGAAUGAGCAAUUUAUAGAAAAAAGAAUAGGCAUAAAAUAGCUAUUGGAAUGUUAUUUUAACAUAAGAAAACAAUUCUGGUAGUUGGAUCAAAAUUUGGACAAAAUUUCACUGUUGGAUCAUCAUAUAGCCGUUGGGAUCCCUUUUUAGUUGUUGGAUCACCUCCUAAAUUUAAUCUAGGCCAUUAGAUGAAGAGGUAGAUGACCAUUGCAAUGUGAGUGUGAUUUAUGCUAUCAGAUAAGGCCCCUCAUCCACGUUGAUUUACCCAUAAACAUCGAUGAUUUUUUGUUAAUAAAUCGUUGAUAUAUCGACAAUAUAAUGCAAUGUCAGUUGAUUGAUGCAAUAAAUCAACAAUUUAUUGCUAGUAACAAAUACAUUGGCGAUAUUUGGUGAUUUUUUUUUUAGAAAUUUCUCCUCUUUGAUAUAUCACCACGAAAUAUCGCUUCCAUGGCUCUCUAUACAUGACAUAUCCCAAAAUUUUCAUCCUCAUUUAUAAGUGGAUAAUUUGUUCACAAACGGUUUAUAGGCUUAAGCAACCUAAUAGAGACUGUAGUGAACUAUUCCUAAUUAGAGGGAUCCCUGAUUUUGACCAUCGAGAUGAGUUUCCCAUGGUGAGUGCAUUAGUGGAUAUGGUUACACAUUGGACAAUACCUAUGAUGAGUCAUGACAUCAUAAGGCUGUCAAUUAGUCAUAACUUUACCAAGUUGCUACGUUGUGUUGUCUCUUACCCUUGAGAAAAUCUCAAGCUUAUGCCAAAGUUAGUAAUGGCUUUGACCUACAGUUGACAUUGUAAGAAGAUCAUAUAUUUCUUAUGGAAUGGGUCACUAUUAAUGGAAGUUGGUAGCAACAGGUAUAAAUAGAGGUGCCAUUGAUAUAUCUUAGGAUUGAGAUAGUGUGUCCCCUUAGGUGAUCUAGAGGACAUGUGAUCUAGAAGAUCAUGACUAUAACAUUUCUUUUAGUGGAAAUUUGACAUAUGCUCAUUGGAUCUAGCGUAUGUUAAUUGAUCAAAUAAUAAGUGGGAUCUAUAACUCAAGAAUUAAAGAGGUAAUCUUGAUAUGUGAUAACACUACCUUGUUAAAUUACGAACACCAAUUCAUAGAAAAUCUACAUGAAGUGGAUGGUAGGUCACAAACACAAGCUACAUCUCAUUGUUAUUUACAUAGGGUGUUCAAAUGUAGUUGAUUCUUUAUAGUGACAUGUUGAAUAUGUUAGGAAACCCUGAAUUACUCUGUUUUCAAGCUCUAGAUCAUUAAGGUGCAUAAAAGCCUAUCCUAGGCUUCUCUAGAAGUAUAGUAGUGGAAAAAAUUUGACGUUCAAAACUAACAAAUAUCGCACCAUUAAGGUGCAUAAAAAGCCUAUCCUCGGCUUCUAUAGAAGUAUAGUAGUGGAAAAAUAUGAUGUUCAAAACUAACAAAUACUACAGAUCUAGAAAUUAGUGCCAUUCUUGCAAUUCAAAUGUUCCUAGAUCAAAUCUUAUUGGUGUAAAAUACUCCAAAUUCAUAACAGAUCUCGUAAACACAAGGAUCUUCCACCCGGUGACUUCUUGAGUUUAGGCACUAAGAUGGUGGAGAUCUUAGGGUUGAAAGUUAGUGUUCUUUUUCUAGAUUAUAGGGAGAGAAUAACAAGAUUUAUUUUAUUUUAUUUUAUUUUUUUAGAAACCUUAAUCCCCAAGAGGAGUAUUUAUAGGCUUCCUCCUAGGCUUAAGUGACUCGAGCCCACCAUGGACUUGGGUCACUUAAUUUAGCCCAAAAAGGUUACUAAUUGAUUAAUUAAACCAACAUGACUCUAAUUAAUCAAUUAUCCUAGUCUAGAGAUACGUUCAUUUACCCUUGUACAACUUUACAUAAUUACCAAAAUACCCUUAUUCACACAAGUGAACUAAAAUUUUAUUUAACCCUCAUAAAUUAUGCAUUCAAGAAUAUGAGAUUGAGUAGGGACCACUAGGACCCAUUGAACAAUACUGGCUCCCUCAAAAUCCAAUUCUAAAAUUGACUCAACAUCCCAUUAUAGAGAGUCAAUUGCAUUCCAAUACCCUAUGUAUAUUAUAAUGAGAAACCAAUUGCUCGGGUUCUUAACUUGCUAUCCACUAUAUAUAGUCUUCCCAUGAAUUGGUCAUCUGUAGUCUAAAAAUGUGAAAAUUAUUAUCCUUUUAAGACUAACUCUACUAUCCUUGAGUUACAAAUCAUCUUAUUAUGUGAUCAAAUGACAUACUUUAGCUUACUAAGAGCAUAUAUCAAAUUCCACUAAAGAAAUUCUUGAGCGCUCACAGAUUUCAUGAUCACAUGUCCUUAAGUUCACCCAAGGGGACACGGUCUCAAAGUUUAUAAGAUAUCAUAGUGCCUCUAUUGAGAAUACUAAUUGCUAUUGACUUCCAUCAAUAGUGACUCAAUCCAUAGGGAAUAUAAAAUCAACUUACCAUCUCACCCGUAGGUUAAAGAGUGACCCAAUCCAUAGGGUAUAUAAAAUCAACUUACUAUGUCACCUGUAGGUUAAAACCACUGCUAACUUUUGCACAAACUCAUAUAUUUUGUCAAUGUUGAAAGAUAAUACAAUAUAACAACUUAGUGAAGUCAUGACUACUCAAUAAUCUUAUGUCAUGACCCACUAUAGGUCCUGUCGAAUGUGUAAUCGUAUAUGCUAGUGCACACACCAUGAGAACCUUAUCCCAAUGGCCAAGAUCAACCAUCCCUCCUAUUAGGGAGUGGUGCACUACAACCUUAAAUAAGUUGCCUAAGCCCACGAAUGGAUAUGAACAAAUCAUCUAGUUGCAAGAAACUCAUGACUUGGAUUUUCCGUGUAACUUUUAAUGCACCUAAGUCAUGUAUAAUGUAAAAGAUGCUAGGUCAAAAUGCUCAUAAAGUAUAAUGCAUGGAGUAAGGAUAUAUAAAAGUGAAAUUGGAAUAUCAUUCAAAGAAUAAUGAAUUCCAAAUUUGUUACAUCAUGUCAUGCUUUUAAGGACUUUAUCAUAACAAAAUCAACUUUAGAAUUGGAUUAUGAGAGAGCUAGUAUUCCUAUGGGUCUCAAUGCUCUUUAUUUUGAGCUUAUAUAUCAUGAUGCUAUAGUUUAUGAGGGUUGAAAUUGGCUUUGGGUUCGCUCUUAUGUAUAAUGAUGUUUUGGUAAUUAUACAAGAUUGUAUAGGGGAUAAUGAAUAAGAAUCUUUGGAUUAGGCUAAUUGAUUAAUUAGAUGACCUUUUGAGGCUAAUUAAUCAAUUAUGACCCAAUUUGGGUUAGAUUUAGUGACUUAAGCCCAUGUGGGCUCAAAUGACUUAAGCCCAAUAGGGGAACCCUAUAAAUAACUCUCAAGGGUUAGGGUUUCCCAAUGAUUUUCCAGAGAGUCAUCUUUUACUUCUAAAGAGAGAGAGAGAGAGAGAGAGAGAGAGAGAGAGAGAGAGAGAGAGAGAUAAAGAGAGAUCCAAAGUUUUCUACCUUCCAAAACCCACCUUUUGGAGUGCCAAGAUACUGGUUAGAGUCGUCGAACAUAAGAUCUCAAGUGUACGAUACCUCCAAAGUUUUCAAGUAUCUUCUUCACUACACAAAUUUGAUCCUGGAACAUCUGGAUUAAGGUAAUGUUUUCUAGAACCUUUAAUUUGGAUACUUGAAUGAUAAAAAUUAUGUUUUUUUCUUUUGUUACAUAGGAUCUAGAAGCCUUAAGAUAUGUUUCAUCCACCUAACUUGAGCCUAGGAUAAGGAAUGUAGAGAUCCAGGCAUUGGGCUUUGGAAUUGACUUGUUAUUUAUGGAUUUAGGCCACAUUGGCUAUGAGUUUUACUUCAUCUGGGCCAUGGAUUUAUUUAGUUAUUUGACUUGGGGUUGGGCUUUAUUGGUUUUAUAUUUAGGUUAUUCCAUAUGGGCUUGAAUUUUUGUUCUUAACUCUAGUGUUUUUUUUUUUUUUUCCUGUUUUGCAUGGGUAUUGGUUGAGGACUUUGGCUAAGUUGUGGAUAUGUGAUGCUUGAGGGCCAGAUUGCAUGGAAGAAGUGAAGGUUCACUAAAGUUAUAUUUAAGGGCAUAAAACCCUAGGAUGCUAUAGAGUUUUAGAAGAGGAUUCUCAUUUUAGGUUUGUUUUUUUUUUUUUAGUAUUUAGUGAGAGAGUAGAGAGAGUUGUACUUUAUUUUGAGCUAACAUUGGUGUUAUAGAGGGCCAUUAGGGUUGUUUUGCUGCAAACUUGUAUUAGGUAUAGUAUCAUAUUUUCCCAAAUUUUAUUAUAGAAAUUUCUUUUUUGAAACCAAGGUUUGGUUAAUCUCAGUUUUGAUGAUAACAAAACAAAGUUUAGAACUAAUGAUUAUAUUUCAAGUGCGAUUAGACAAGACGAUUUCCAAAGUGGCAAUAAAAAGAUAAAUCAAGCCAAAGAGAAAUCAUUAAGAAGAAGAAGACCUCAAAGAGAAGUGUUUUUUAAGGCCCAAGCUUGAUAAGAUCUCUUUGUAAGGUUGUUGGUGCACUAGGAUUUUCAUGCAUUAUAUUAUUUACUUAUACACUAAAAUCAUUCAAGAGUUUUUUUAUUUGCUUUCCCACUUGACAAGCUUCACAAAUUUUCUCUUUUUGAAAAUUUAUUUUGGGAAGGCCUCUAACAAGUUCAUCUUUGUUGAGUUGGUAAAUGAGGUCCAUGUUAGCAUGUCCCAACCUCCUAUGCCACAACCAACUUUGAUCAUGCAUGCUUGAAAAGCAUCUAUCAUGGUCAUCAUGUUUUGAAAUAUUUAUAGCGUAAACAUUAUCACAUCUAUGGUCCAUGAAGAUGGUUUUAUCAUUUUGAAUAUCUUUGAUAAUGCAAUGAGAUGCUUCAAAAAUCACUUUAAAACCUUUGUCACAAAGUUGACUAAUGCUUAAAAGGUUAUAUUUUAAACCAUCUACUAAUAAAACACUUUCAAUGAGAGAGGAUGUGUCAAUACUAAUGUUGCCUUGACCAAUGAUCUUUCCUUUUGCAUUGUCUCCAAAGGUAACAUAUCCUCCCUUUUUCUUUGUAAGAAAAGCAAACUUGGAUUCAUCUCCAAUCAUGUGUCUUGAGUAUCCACUAUCUAAGAACAACUUAUCAUUCUUUGAACCCUACAACAUAAAACUCAAGUUGAUUAAGGUAUUCAUAUAUUUUUGGGUCUUUGAGGGUUAGUGACCUUGGAUUUUUCCAUCCAAAACUUUUAACUUUUGCAUUUGAAUUCUUUUGAGAACCAUUUCUUAAAGGGCAUGUACUACUAAUGUGUCCUCUUCUUACACAAAAGUUGCAAGUAGUGAAAAGACUUGCACUCAUGGAUUCCUUUACAAAAUAGUUUUUAAAAUACUUUUAAUUUUUUGAAGAUUUGAAUCCUAGCCCUUGUUUGUCAAAAAAACAUUUUUGGCUAGCUAGAAUCAUUUCAAAAGAUUUUUCUCCACAAGAAAAGAUUGAAAGAGAGGAGGUUAACCAUUCAUUUUUCUUUCUUAAAAUCUCAUUCUCUUUUUCAAGAUGAGUUUUAGAAACUUCAACAUUUGAAAAUUUUUGUUUUAAUCCUCAAAGUUCUUUUUCAAGUUGUUGAAUUUUUUUUUUAAGAGAGAUAUUUUUCAAACCGAGUUUUUUAAAAUCCUCAUGGAGCAGCUUUUGGAAGACCUUUUAGAUGAUGUCAAGUAUUUACUUGACCUUGGCCAAUAAAUAGAAACUUGAAUUUCUCAUGUAAGGACUUUUGAGACAUUUUUUAUUGUAGGAUUUUCUAUAUUUUGUUUCUUAAUAGAAUUUUCUAUUUUCCUUCAUUUUCUCACUAGUCAAACAUGCAUUGUGAGACCAAAUCUCCAAGCAUGAGUGGCUAAAUCUUGUUUUUCUUGAAGGAAGGAGGAUCUAGAAGUGAGAUCCAUGGUGAAUUAGAGAAAUGAGCUUGAAUUGCAAAGGUAAUUUGAUCCAAUUGAUUGAUUACUUGAAUUUUGGGGCGUUUUCUCUUCAAAUUAUUUUGAAUGACUAUUACAUUGCAAACUAGAUAGAUUCAUUAAAUUCUUAAAGUUAGAUUUAAUGAGAUCGAAUAGUUGUAUUGUAUGAAUCAUUGGAAGAUGAUUUAAGAUAAAUUGAAUAUAUAGUUUAAAUUGAUUUCUUGGAUUAAAUAAUUUAAUUUGAAGAGAAAUUAAAUCUAGACUUAAAACUAAAUCUAAAAUCAGUUUAAAUGAAAAUUUAAAUUUUCGUUCUAAUUUGAUAAAAAAACACAUCUCAACAUGUAUUUAUCAUGGAAAUUAUUUUCUAGAAAAUCAUAACUCUGAUAAUUUUAUUUUCUAUUAAUUUUUUUCUAUUUUACAUUUUAUUAUUCUUCUCAAUCGGAAACUAGGGUCAUUUUGAUUUUUCAUCAUGAAUUGUCAAAUCAAUUUCACUUUAUUAUAACCAUUUAUUUUCCUCCAUUCAAGUCUUAAUUGCCAAGAAUAAUCCAUCAUAAUGAACGACAUCUAAUAAACUACGACUGUUUGUACUAAAACUAUUUUUGAUUGGACACAAGAUAUUCUAGAAUAGUAAAUUAAGUUAUAAAUUAUGUUUUGAUACGAUAAAUGAUAAAAAAUCAAUCAAUCAGGGUAUUAACAAUCAGGUGUGUAGGGACCCCUCCCUCUGGGAAACACGUGGCACGCAUCUCACAGUGACACGUGGCACGUGUUAUCAGCUGGACCAUCAUCAUCCGGAUUCUCCUAAGGAUAUGCAUGAUGCAGUUCUCACACCCGGACCACCUCAAGGAAAGGCAAAUGACGUUUCAGCUUCUCCUAUCCAAAGAAGAGCAAACGACGCUGGCAAAGCAUAGACAUCCGGACAACCUUCAUAAUGCAUCCGCUCCACAAUGCAUCCGGAUAAUCAGCAUGUGCCAUCCGGAUAUAAUCGUCCGGAUCAUCAAUUAAAGUAUAGCGAGUCUUACACGCUAUCACAACAAACGACCAUGACCCACAUCCUGUCACCUGCAGAGUGAAAAGACAAGAUGAAAUGACAGCAAGUCACUUCCCACGAUCAUUCUACACGAUCACAUCCCACGAUCUUUGACAGCCGCAUCACCUACCAUGGUUUCUGACAGCCGCUCAUAGGGUGAUGAUGCUCCUACUGACGCCUAUUAUCAUCAUAACAACAUAAAAUAUCUCCUCACCAUUAAUGAGAGGAACAGUGCUUAUGAAGCUGUAUAUAUAAGCCUUCACACAAAGAGGAAGGCGACCCCCUGGUAACCUCUUGAUACCUAAAAAAAGGCCAACUGUUUUAUAUCUCUCUCUCUGACCAUGGCUAACAAAACCAUCGGAGGGUGCGUCCGGACACCCUGCCCGGAUGCCUUCUUGCAGGUAUAACGACUGGAUCAAGAACCUUUGUGUGUUGAAAUCACGUGUCCAUCCAUCUGCCAACCACGUGGAUCGUCAAAGGCGUGAGGUAACAACAUUGGCGCCGUCUGUGGGAAUUUUCUUACUUUGAUUCAGUCACUAAAAAGAUGGCCACACCUUCCCGAAGCCAAUCCUCUGGUAGAGGAGAGGAAGAUGAUUUCGAAUGGCGUAAAGCCAUCGAAAGGAGACAGUUGGCAAGCGAAAAACAACUGAAAGCUCUCCUCCAGGAGACAGAAAGGUUAAGAGAAGAAAACGUUGUGUUACGUAUCCAGGCCUCAACGUCAGGGCCUCCUCGACGACAGCGUUCAAGGGGCCAAGUAGCAGACUCAAGGCCUCAACAAGAGCCGGAAUCAAUAUAUCCUGGGACAACAGGAGCCAUCCCAGGAGCAUACAACGUGAGGCCUCAUGAGCCACGCACGCCUAUGCCUCAAGCUCCCCGUGAGGAAAGCUCAGACUCUACUCACUUUUCAGCAAAAAGACAACGUGAUAAAAAAUCCCGGUUGUCAAACUCGAUGCGCGCAAGACUAUGCCCACAAGAGCCUGGAAGAUCAAGGCCACCAAUGGCCACAACCUGGGCACCACGCCCUGACCCCAUAGCCACCCCCAUGGUGCAAAACGUUCAUCCGCAUCGUGACCCCGUAGUCACCCCGGUGAUGCGGAACGUUCAUUCGCACCCAGCGGAACAACCAACUGGGAGAAACAUCCCAAACGGGCCACCUAUUGGCUCCAUCAGCAAAAGGCUGGAUGACAUGCUCUCCACGCCUUUCUGCUCUCAUAUCAUUAAUUACGAGCCCCCAAGGGGAUUCCUCGUACCAAAAUUCUCCACAUACGAUGGAACCAACGAUCCCUUCGAUCACAUCAUGCAUUAUCGACAGCUCAUGACGCUCGAUAUUGGCAACGAUGCACUACUAUGCAAAGUAUUUCCCGCCAGCCUACAAGGGCAGACCCUCUCAUGGUUUCAUCGCCUACCUCCCAACUCUGUUGACAAUUUCAGGGACCUAUCUGAAGCUUUCGUGGGACAAUACUUGUGCUCUGCUCGACACAAGCAGAAUAUCAGCACCCUCCAGAACAUAAAGAUGCGAGAUAACGAAUCCUUGAGGGAGUUUGUGAAACGAUUUGGCCAGGCUGUACUUCAGGUAGAUCCUUGCAGUAUGGAUGCUGUCCUACAGAUCUUCAAACGAAGCAUCUGUCCAGGCACUCCAUUUUUCGAAUCACUGGCUAAAAAGCCUCCUACUACGAUGGAUGACUUAUUCAGACGAGCCAACAAAUAUUCAAUGCUCGAAGAUGACGUACGUGCAGCCACCCAGCAAGUUUUGGUUGCUGGACGGCCAUCUAGAAGUAACUCGGAGAGAGAUACUAAACCUCCGGAUCGGCCAAAACCAUCUGAACGAAGGCAGGAAGGGCCAAGUCGCCCGGAAAUGCCGCCUCUCACACCUCUUUCCAUAUCACAUGAGAAGCUUCUCCCGAUGAUCCAGGACUUGUCCGACUUCAAAUGGCCUAGACCCAUUGGAACGGACCCAUCCA